rnacentral:lncRNA from 1 species
UGAUUGUAUCUUUAGGAAACUGCAUUUCAAAAAUAACUGAUUGAAAUCACCUAAUGUGCGCUCUAUGUGGAACCACAAUUACUACCUAUUACGUACUCUUUAUGUAACACCAACAAAUAUGCGAAAUUGCACAAAUUCACCCGAAAGGAAAGAGUGGGUUCUCCUGCCCUUGUGUAAGUUAUAAAUAAUAAUUACAUCAAAUGAUGAUAGAUAUAGGCAAAGGCACCCAGUACUGAUAAAUCUUUAUCACAAAAAAGAAUGUGCAACUACUUGAGCUCUUUACCAAGCGCCAGUAUGCCAUGGUUCUGACAGCUGAUUAUAAAAGAGAUUUGAUAAUGUAAACAUUAAAGGCCGCCUACGAAGCCCAUGGCCGAUCGAUAGUAUAAUGCUAAAUGAUAAAAUGUUACAUAGAACAGCAGCAAAUGAUAUUGUAUAAUCAUCAUACCGAAUUAUCACAUUCAAAACAAUAAGGAUGUUUAAAGCUGCACUUACAAUGAUCAGGACUGAUGUAAACCCAAUUGCAAAUUGUUUGUUAAUGCGUUUCAGAUAAUGAUCAAGCAAUGUAGAAGAGGUAGCUAAAACACUUAGUAACAAUCCUCCUGCGAAAAAAAUGAGAAUGUUGGUAAAUUGAUAUUGAUGAACUCACCAAAUUCUUUAGUAUGAGAUGCAACAAAGAGAGAUUAUCCAUCAUACGAUAAAUAUUUGAAAUUGAAACAAACAUACCCCAAAAGCGUGUUGAUGCUUGAAUCUUUGUUAAAUGCUCAAUUGUUGCCUUUCCAGGCUUUAUCUUCGGUAUACGAGCACCCAUCUUUGUCAUGUAAUCAGCAAUCUCUUUAGGCAAGUUUGCCUACCAUCACAGAGUCAGUUGAGCAAGAAGGAAUAUUCGACAAAAAAUGUUAAAAAGAGGAAAGCAAGCAACUGUGACAAAGAACAUGUUGAGAAAUAAUAGAUUGUUGGGAUUCUACAUUUUACACUAAAAUUUGGAUAUUCAAUAUGAAGAACGGCAGAAACUAGUCGCUGCACUUGUUGUUUGCAUCCCCUCAAAAAAUUGUUGGUUUAAGCUCUGAAACUGCAAAACAAUAUUAUUCAGUUUUUCACCCUUUGAAAAAUCAUCUGGAUCGAUGUGUCUUUUAUAUUCUCUGCAUCUAACUCUCAUCCAAGCCAACGACAACGAGCCAAGCUCAAUUUGGCUUGAAAUGUCAAGCUCAAGAAUUGUUCACAUUCUAUAGCAAUUUGAGCAGAGCCAAGGUCUGUUCAGCUUGCUUAAGCUUCAAUCAUUUACACCACUGUUACACAGCACCAACCUACCACUCAGAAAUGAGAAGAAUAGACAAAGAAACUUCUGGACGAAGUUCUAUAGGUGUCAGGAGACUGAUCUACAUGAAGCCUGCAGCUCUUCAUAUUUGUCACCAUACCAUUCAAUGGAUGAGUGAAUGCUAAAACUUGAUACUUGGAAGCAAAGUGUUAUGUCUUAGCAUUAGAUUAGUGUUUAUCGUUAUCACUCUAUCAUAAUAAAGUCUUGCAUUGUAAGAUAUUCAUAGGUUACAGUAUGGAGGAGAUAUUCAAAAAUACAUUAUUUAUCUUUUGGCUCUAUAAGUUGGCUCUAUAAUUGCUACAUCAAUUUUAAAUUCCUAUCUUGCAAGGUCAGAAUAUUUUUAAGCUUUCAGUUUUAGCUCAUUUAGGAAUCUAGAAAGACACUGUAUGGAAAUUUACAGUCAAAAGUCUAGAAGUGUGUCUCCAAUAUCCUUAUGGUAUCCACACUCAACAAACAGAAUUCAAUCAAUUUAAGGAAUUAUUAUUGAGAGUAUUCUUUUCAACUCUAAUGUGAGGCAAAAGCUCUUCUCAUGAGUGAAACUUCAAUGAGCUUAGAUUUAAGGCCGAGACGUUCACUGACAGACUUAUCAAACAGAUCAGGUAAACUACCAAAUAAAGACCCACCUGGUGUUCAAAUCCUUAUCCUUAUAAUACUCUAGCAAUCUAGCUUUCUUAUCAAGCGUCAAGAAGAAUGUAAAUUUAUCAAAGUUAAUUGGUAUGAGAUGAAAAAUACUUACAAUGUCAAAUAUGUUGAAUAGAAAGACAAAUAGUGCAUAAAUCGUAUAAUAGACCCAUGGAUAUGCCCCAACUGAUGAUCUAGGGUUCAAUAUCUCCUUCAUCGUUUCCCAAAAUGGUGUCCCAAAAAUACUGCAAGCAAAGAUUGUUGAUCAGAAAAAAGUGUAUGAUGUAACCAAGUAAAUAACAAAGUACCUAAGAACCACAACCAAAUUACCUAGCCAUGAUGCCAGGGAAAGCCAAUAAAUAUGUUGUCGUAAGAACAGGCUGCAUUCCAGUUGGAUUAAUGUUAAAGGGUAUAUAGGGCUCUACCUCUGUUACCGCAGAACCUUCAUUUCUAUGCACCAAAAGAAGGGAGACAAUUUCAGUAGCUUAGAGUUAAAUAGAUGGCACAACUGCAGCUAAAGUAGGUAACAAGUAGAAAGUUCUCAGAAAGCAAGCAGUGAACCUUAUGCAGAGUUUGUUAGUCCAUGAAUAAUACAAUUAACAUGAAUUAUAGUAAAUAUUGAAUUGAAACAUAUUUUAACAAAGUAUCGAAUAUGAUAUUCAAAUAAAUAUAUAUAAACAAAUAGGAUAUAGAAGAGUGAAAGGAACCAACACUGGACAUCCACAGUGUUAAUGCUCAAGCUCAUUACAUAACAGAGGAAUAAAACUAUAGUAGCGCUACUCAUGGUUACAUUGCAGAAUCUAUUUAUAUUAUUAUACGAGUUCCUUGGAAAAUCCACACGCACAACAUCCUAGUAAAUCAAGAAUAAUUAUUAUUAUAACAAAUUCUUGCCAUCUUCAGUAAACAAAAGGCAGGCAAAUAUACAGCAGUAAAUACUAAACAAAAACUAGAAACAGCACAGUAAUAUGACCUUGUACUAGAAGCCAAUUUAAAAGCGUAAUACUGCAACUUAAUCUUCCUACAACCUUCCGUAAGAAGAACUGCCCACAUAGUGACUACUGUGAAAAUUCCAAGUAUCCCAAAUAUGUACGGCCAGCAGCUGAUCAGAUUUCCUGAUUACAAGUUUAGCGGUUCAAUGUGUGAGAGCGAGAAAGGGGAAGAGGGUCCAGUAAAUAAACAAGAAAGAAGCAACAACCACACAUACUUGAUAUGCUAAUAAUGGCAGUAAGUACUCGGUAAAGUUGGCCAAACUAAAAAAUAAAAAGAAAAUACUUUUAUAAAACAAAAAGUUAAGCCCUCCAGCAGUAUAGCACAUAUGCUUAAAAAAUGUAGCACUUCGUCCCCCUAUGGAUUUAUUUUAGUUUUCUAUAAAGAUUUGCCAUUGAAAAGGUCACAAAGAGUUGAAUUCCAUAAAACACAAGGUGGUAAAAUGUAGCCCUCUACCACCUAAGAUUGGACUAACUACUACUCUUUUAUAAAAUAUAGCAUGUUGCAACCUUUUUUUGAUGGACAGGUCUUCACAGAAAAUGAAAGCAGAAACCAUAGGCGGCAAAGUACUAUAUUUUGAACCACAAGAUAGCAAACUACAAAUGCACUAGACUAUAUGAGGGCUUUUUGAGGUUUUCCCUUCUCUAAAUAGUGAGCAAAGUCAUAUAAUCCCUGCAGAACAAUUCCCAUUUCUGAGUCAUAUGAAUUGUAUAACUCAUUCUGAACAUAUGAUUUAAAGUGAACUCAUAUUUCGAUGUCAACUAUAUCUGUCGUAUAUGCCCAUCCAAACAUAUGCACACUGACACUUCCUCUAAAGAGUCCCGAUAACGCCGAGCAUUUAUACAAUCAGGCACGAUGAUGCCACAUGGUGGAAACUCUUUUCUCCAAAAUCAAGCCAACGCUAACUAAAAGAAGCUCCUUUAAAUUAAAAAGUAGGAGUAAUAGAAUGAAGAAACCAACCUGCAAGCUGAGAUAACAUCUUGUACAAUGUCUCUGUAUAACUAGUCAAUAUGCUCGCACAGAUUAUCAGUGAAGAACCAUGACCUGUAUAACAUAUAUAGAAUUAGACACAGAAAGGGCAUUGUGCUCCACCUGAUCAUGUAGUGUAGCAAAAGCUUGAAAGAUAAUUGUCAGAGAAAACCAUAAAAUAAAACAAGCAAGCUUGAAAGAUAAGUGUUAAAAAAAAUUUAUGUGAAUAAAAUAAGAUAAAUAAAAAUAAAAACAAAAGUAAACAAAUUUUUGACAGCAUAUGCUGCAUGUGCCUUGAUAUUAGCUAACAUCGACUGUGAUGCCACCACACGGAACCAGACCUGCCCAUCUGAUUGUCAUACUACAGAUAAUUUGCAGAUAGAAAUGUCGUAGUACAUCCAAUCCAAUCAGAAAGAUCAUAAAAUGUGAAGGAAAUAACAUAGUUUAAAAAUAUAUUUCUGAGCAAAAGCAACAAGGCAUGAUGAUUUUGAUAAAAAAAUUUACCAAAUCCAGAUUCUGAUAUCGUGUCACAAAUCCAUGUCAUAGUCAUUGCGCCAACAACCAAUAAGAUGCUUGUCAUGAUGAUGUGCUUGAAUCUGCAAAAAGAAGAUUCCACUAGUGACAGAUUUGCAAAAAUACUAUAUAAGUUUGAAUACAUUCUUAUAUGUAGGAAAAAUAAACACAAGUUCCUGGGAGUGUAACGAAAGAAUAAAGUCAACGAGCUGUAAAAUAUAGAACAAUUUGAAAUAGAGAGCUGUGUGCAACAUAAUUAGCUAUAGUUGGUUCACAUUUUGUAUGAACGAAAAAAGGUUUUGAUGCUUGCAAAGCACUUUCCUGACUUUGGCAGAUGCUUAAAUUUCUUUCAACAAAUGAAAAAGCUGUUUUCAGCUUCUCGGCAUAUGCUAGAAUUUGUGGCUUAUAAAGGAAAAAAAAAAAAAAAAAAGAGGCAAAAGAAGGGUAGAACUUCAGAUUAUGUGGAAGCCGCAAAAUCUAGUUAAAUGGGGCUAUUAUCCAUCCUUUUUGAUCCAGGCUUCUAAUAAAGUUUAUGGAUCAGCCAGAUAAAUUUACCACUCUCACCCAUCUACUGUUCAUCUUGUGAGAAUAUAAAAACUUUAAAGGUUAAAUACUUAAAUGACAAGUAGUCUCUGAUUUUAAUCUUUGCCUCCAUUUAUGUCAAACCACACCCUACAAUUCUGGUUUAUCAAAUUUGAGUGUGUCAGGUAGAAACAAAUGCUUCUUACCACUAUUUUGGAUGAACUUAUAGCGCACCAACACCUCCUAGCCUUCUCAGCUAGCACUUUAGCUGUUUGGUACCAGUAGUGCUGGCUGAUCAAGGUUCAAACAGGGGCAUGCAAAUUCCUGGGGAGGGAUCUUUGGGCUUUAGGGAAUAACCUAUGGGCUUCUUCCAGGGUAAAAAAAAGAAAAAAAAAAACCUAUGCCAGUUAGGCUCUCUCUAGCAGCGAAAAAUAGACACCUUCAAAUGAUGGAGAUGUGAUGGAAGUAUAUGGGACUUGGAGAAACAAAAAGAGAACAUGGCUAGAAAGAUAAAGAAAAUAGAAAAAUGGUAAUGUCGCAAUUUAUUAUGCUUCACUCACAAGUCACAGCCCUUAAUUUUCUUUCCGAGGGCCUCACAUUCCAAUGCACUCUCACUUUGAUAACCAUAAACAAAUUCUUUUUCAAACUUUACCACAAAAACUUGUAACGCAAAAUUAGGAAUAUAAUAGUGCCGAAAAGAAAUAAUCUUCUAGUAGAACAAUUGCACAUGAACACUCACAUUCAAUUGGAAUCAAAAGCCUUUAAAUUUACAACAAAGUGCACAUAAUAGGGCUCUAAGCCUCUGAGUUAUCUAAUCAAUGUCAAUAAAUUAAAAAGGCAUCUUACCUAUGACUGGCAGCAUACACUGAAUACUGAAGUGAAUAGGACGAAACGAUGAUAGCUCCCAGUAUUGCAAAGCCCAAUGAAGUCCACCAUCUAUAAAGAAGUGUAAGAAAUUGCAAUUUGAGUAUAAUCAGAAUAACAAUGACAGACACAGUAAAUUUUCAAAGAGGAUCAGUCUCACUGCUCGAGAUGGAUAACAAGACACACAUAUAGCCUUUAAUCUUCUCCUGGCCAUCUAAACCUUCUUUCCGUAGCUUUACCAAGGAUGGAACUAUAUGACAGAGUACCUGCUCAUAAAAUCAAAAAGUCCAUGAGAAAAGCCAAAAAAAAAAAAAGAAGAAGAAACAAUAUAAAAUUAAGUUUAUUAAUACUCAUUUCUGGGGACUGAAAAUGAAGCAACAGAUUAGAAAGCUCUAAUUCACUAAUAGUGCUUGAAGAUAUCGCUUGAAGGUUUCUGGUAAAAGCAUCGGAGUCUGGGAAAGACUAUGCUAUUGGAACUGUGUCCCAGUGUGGAAGCUAUUAGUGAAUAAGAUGUUUUGUCCAGAAAGAUAACGCAGUAUGAUUAGGGAAUACACUAUUAGUGAAUAAGAUGUUUUGUCCAGAAAGAUAACGCAGUAUGAUUAGGGAAUACAGAAGAAAGUAAUACCCAAGUAACCAGUUGUAAUUAGUAAUUUGGUGAAUAGCGUUACAGCAUCGAAUUACACAAAUAAUCAUCAAAGAACGGAGAUCAUAACCUGCAUAAGAAUGGAUGCAGAAAUCUGAUGACUGAUUCCAAGCUGGAAAAGUGAAAGCUUCAACUCCGCAGUAAAAUCACCCAAAUCAUCUGCAUGAAAAGGGAGCUCAAAAAAUAAGCACUACUUAGCAGCAGCUCAAAAAAUAAAUAUGACUCAAACAAUAAGUACUAUGAUAACACAAUUAAACAAUUUCGUAUAUCUCAAAACUUAUACACUGCGGCCUCAAUAUAAUCUCGCUAAUUGACAAUAAAUAAUAUGGCAAAAACCUUGCUUUCAUAGUGAUUAAAAUCACAAAUUGAUCACAACUCAAGCAUAGAUGCAGCAAUUAAAUUGCCAUUAAAAGUCUCGAUUCGGUUUCAAACAACAUUAUUGUCCCGAAAGUUUCGAAAAACCAGAUGCUCACUCACCGGCGGCCCCGGGAGUGAAGCUGAGGUAGGUUUCCGGUAUCAAUCUCCGAUCAAAGCCUGGGAGGGGGACGAAGUAGCCGACGCGGCUGAGCACGAUGAGGGCGGCGGUGACGGCGAGCCUCCGGCGGAUCUCACUCUUGAAGAAGGCGUCCGCCGCGCCGUCGACGACCGACCCGAUGCGGCCGAGGUCCAGGAACCUGUUCUUGUACCUCUCGCCUCUUCCGCUUCUCCCCUCCGCUCCGAACGCGUCGGAUGGCGCUGCGGCGGCGGCGGCGGCGGCGGCGGUGGGCUUCGCGGGGAAGCGGCGAGUGGGCGAAGAGAGAGUGAGAGUCCGUUUGAGGUGUGAACAGAGACUACGGUGGUGGUGGUGGGGGGAUGGGAAUUUGUAGACGACGAAGGGUCGGGGGCGGAGAGGGAGGGGGAGGGGNGGAGGGGGAGGGGGAGGGGGAGGGGGGAGGAGAACGAUGGCGAGAGCGCCGCCGCCAUGGGCGAGGAGGAUGGAGGAGGCGAAGGGGAGAGUGGAGAGAAAUGGAGAGAAGCUUCCGCGGCUUCUGCCACUCCACCGAUCGAUAAAAAGCCUCUCCCUCUCUGUCCCUCUCUAAACCCCUGCAGCUCACUAACAAAAAAAAACAACGUACCAUUAAUAAUUGUUUGGCUUAUAUUCCAGAAAGCAAUUAUAGAGUCAAAAAUAUAUUAUUUUUAUUUCAACAGAGUAUUUGAUAAUUUUUUGAAAAAAAAUUGGAUUAUACUUUUUAAAAUAAGUUUUUUUUUUUAAUUUUAGAGUUCUCAAAUCUGAUUUUGAUUUUUAUCUCAAAUUUUAAGUUUAAUUUAAAUUAUAUAUUCUAAAUUCUAAUUUUUAAAUUAUUUUUGCUAGAUAAAUCAAUACAAAAAUCAGUCAAUAUUGAUUGGGUAAAAAUGCUACAGGCGAAUCUGGAUCAGUUGAUCAUGCUUUCAUCGGAAAAUUUCACUCAAGGUUAAUAGAGUUGUGCAUUUGCAUCUGCAUAUCUUUUCAAUCUUUGAUGACACUUUUCAAUAUUGUUUACUUUUUCUCAGCUGCUUAUUUUCAUCCUUCUAUUCUCUUUAUUUUUUAUUCUUUAAUAUUGAUUAAUCAGUAUAAUCUUAUUGUGUUUCUCUUAAAAAAAAUGAACUAACCCCCAACUUUUUUAUAGUGGCACCUCUAGUUUCUUUUUCUUUUUUUUUUUCCUUUGUGAACACUGGAAUAAAGUAAUUUUAGCACAAUAAAUUAAAAAUUUUAUCUAAUUUGAUUGGUAAUUUUAUCAAAUUUAAUUGUUUAAACUACUUAGUGGCAAAUAAAACAAAAUUGUUUAACUAUUAAUAGCUUGUUAAGCCAUAUAAUUUUAAAAAAAUUUCUUAAAGGGUAUAAUUUAAAAAAAAUAAAAGUUGAGUUUAUUUUAGAACGCUAUAUAGUUGAGGAGGUCUCUAUACAUUUUUACACAUUCAUUUUUUGUUUCAUGGGAGAUUACCGAGUUUUGUAUGGAAUGUAGCACGAGACGUAUUUAUUUUAUCGUAUUGUGCCAAUAAGAUUCUGAUACAAUAUAGCUCCCAUGCUGAUGACAUAAUUCAAAAUCCUUUUUACUUUAAAUUAGUAAAUAAUUUUUUCAAUAAAAUUCGAAUGAUUUGAUAAAGAUAUAUAAUAAGUAACUAGAAAAUUUUAUUGCUAAGAAAAAUAAAUUUUUUAUAUUAUUAUGUGUAGGCACACAUAUAUUUUUUUGUAACCGACACGCAUCGGUAUAGCCCGGCACACUCCGUGUCGUACCAUACCAGUAAGUUUAUGGCACGAUUCCGUGCCACAGUUCUUAAAUUUCUUACCAAUGGAACGAUUAUUAUACAAAUUAUUAUCUUGAUUUUUGGUAAUUGAGAUAAAAAUACCUUGACUCAAUCAUCGAGAACAAGCUUUUCUCACCAAAUUAUACAAAAGAAUUCAAUUCAUAAGUCUCAAAUGUUACAUCAAUCCAGUAACACUAUCUUGCACUCCUCAUACAAUGCCAAUCUCAAGCAGUAAAAUAAAAGAAACAAACAAAAAACCGAAAACUAUCACAGCUUGUUAUUUCCAGCAACUGUUCUUAAUUAGAUCACAGAUCUUCGUCUAUCGGUGCACAGCACACGUUGGGCGCUCCCCCAUCUUGCCACCGAUCCCUUCUCCUUCAAAGGUUGGUUAAACAACCCGAAUCCUGAGGUCAUAGUACUCCUCGCUCGCGCAGGCGAGCCAAGGAUCACUCUUUUCUGCACACUAAAACAUAACUUGCUGGUUGGUGCCUGCUGCACAUCACUAAACAAGCCAUUUGGAUUUGCUUUCGGAGUCGAAAUAAGCUGAAGCCUUUUUCUCGGAGAGGAGAUCGUCGGAAUCUUCGAUUGCCAUAAGGCCAACAUAGGGGGCGGACUCGGGAACUUGCUGCUUAAUGAAAUGUCUCUGAAUCUCCCUUUGCUGUCCGGAGUUGCUGCCACUGCUGCUGCUGCUGCUAGUGGUGUUCCUGGAAUCGAACUAAACGCUGCCACCGACCUCCUCCUGGGUAUUCUUAAAUGAGAUAGUUGAUGAUGUGCCAUUUUCUUUUCAGGAACUGAGGAUUGCGGUUCUUCAUUUACUGGUAACAUGGCAACUGAGGCUCUUCUCUUAGGCUGGAUUCCUACAUGCCGCACCAUAGGUGCCAGCGAUAUCCUUCUUGCCUUACCGACUGUUUUGAUGAGCUCGCCAUUUGAGGCUUUACCGGUUGUAGGAAUGUUCUCUUUAUUUUGUAUUCGGGGUAUCAUAGUUAUGUUUCUUCUCUGAGGAACUGUAUUAGGCAAGGAGUUGGUGGUGAUUCCGCGUAAAGGAGGCCUCAGCCUUGUAGGAGCCAGUGGUGGCUUUGGAUAUUUGGAAGUAUCUCUAGCAGUUUUCUUCUCUUCAGCAAGUUGAGCUUCAAGAUCUCUAACCUGUCAUUCAUCGAAUGAAAGUUAAUUCAUGGGAAAAUGUAAAGGAAAAGAGUGAUGACAUAAAAUUGUGAAACUACGUUGUCAAGACUAGCAAUUCUUUGUGGAACUGUUUCGGAAGGUAUAGAUUUAUAUCACGUAAGCGGUCCCAUGUUAGGCCGGUUUCGCAAAAUAAACACUCAAAAAUAAGCCUAUGUGACAUGUGAAUAUGAAUCCUCACUACUCGAAUUGCACCCAAAGUCGCAUCCUUAUAUGAUUAAAUUCUGUCUAAAUCUUUUCUAACCAUCUCUCAUAUUUCCACAACAUACACUAGGGUAAGAUUUCUCCAAAAAGAUGGACAUUUUGUAUCUUUAAAUUAUAUGCGCCAUACUAUCUCAAACACCUUUUUCCUUAUUUUAUCCUAAGUUGGAUCUUCACCCAUUUUAGAGUUGCAAACAUUUGAUUUGUCCUAAUCCUAUCUUUCAUUGUAUUAUUCUUGUUUUCAAGAAAAGACUGACAGAAACCUGCAUUUUUCGAUCAAGGUGAACUUGACUGAAAAUGAAAAAAAAUCCUGUUAAGGAAAAAAGCAAAAGACAAGAUAGGAGUGGAGAAGACAGCUAGUAAAGUACUUUUCAACAUACCCUUUGUUGAUAAUUCCUGCAUGUUUGUUCAGCAUCUCUGAUCUGUCAAUCACAAAUCCAUUUAGUUACAGUAAGCAAACGAAAGAAAAUUCAAAGUGCAAUAAUAAGCAAUAAUAAAAUUUCACCUUUUCUUGAAGUGCUUUGAAAACAUUCUCCCUCGAUGCAUAUUUAAGAUGCAUCAGCUGCAGGCUUUCAUUUAAUCUUGCUGUUUCCUUCUCCUCCUGUCGAAGUUUCUCUGCCUGUGAAAAGGACGCGAGAGAGUUGCUUAGUGAAUCUAUAAAUGGCAUGAGCAAUAGUCACACAUAAAAAUCUUUCUAUCAGAUCAGUAGGCCAUUUGUUACCAUUUGUUUGAGUUUGAAACUUUCGGCUGCAUCUGAUUGUUUACGUACAGGCCCAUACUCUAUUCCCCUCACUCGACUGGCAAAGUUCAAGGAGCAGAGAGUUUCUCCUAGAUCAGCUGAACUAGGACUAAUCUGUGCAAACAUAAGGGUCUUGCAAUCUCCUCCUGUUAACAUAAAUUAUUCCUAUUCAGGAAGUUACACAUUCCCUUUCACAAGCAAUGAAAAAAAGUACAGCAAAUAGAGAUAAGGAAGCUAUUAAAGUAUCGAGCCAUCGACCCACUUACUAUCAUCAGAUAACAAGUAUAUCUUGAACAACUUGAAGAAUGAUUAAGAACUAACCUAGAGAACUCUGAAGCAGAUGGGUAAGCUUCGAAUUCCUGCAAUUAUUUUUUUUUUUGAACAACAUGAUUAUUAGUUAGGGGAUGAAGAUCCCAUUUCUUAAACAAUACAACAAAGAUACGAAAACAGUGAUUGAUACCUAUAUGGUAUAUGAGGAUUUUUCGAGGCAAGGGCUGAUAUAACAUCUCCAAGAGCAGAUAGAGACUUAUUAAUGAACUGCGACUCCUUGAGCCUCUCUCCCUCCACCUCAAUCUUCGCAACACGUUCGCUUCCAGCUAGAUCAACCAGCCACAGGUGGCUCUUGCUUCUUUGCCCAUUCACCAAAUUCUCCCUCUUCACCAUUACUCUUACCAAGCUGUUGCACAACUAAUUUGGUCAUGAAUGAGGUUUUUUUUCUUUUUUUGUCGAAUGACUAACUAAAUCAGUAUAGCAAAGACCACAUUCCUAUUAAUGGCUCUCCAUCUUUCUAAUUCAUGAAAACAUACAAAGGAUACAUGUGAAACAUUCAAGUAAAAAACUUGGUUAUAAUUCAACACAAAUGAAGCAGAAACUAACCAGUGAGAACGGCUACUGAGCUCGUUGGCAUUAGUCGAUCCAACAGAUCGAUUCCGCGCACCAAUUUUUAGCAUCUCCCAAACUUCAUCAAUGGAGUGGACCUGAGCUUCAACCAACCCAGGCACUUCCUGAGUCCCAUCUGCAGCUUGCUUUAUCUCCAAUCUACAUGAAAUACAACAAACAAAUCAAACAAAACAUAAUUUAAUAUUCCAUAAUCAUUUCAAACUGACAAAAAAACAAGCAGGAAGAAAAAAAGAAUAAUCAUUUCUUACUUUUUUGCCUGUUGGUCAGAGUUGUCGGCGAGAAGGUCUCGGAUUUUCUCAUUAUAGACCUCCAACAUGCUCACGGAAAAUUCAUGCUUCUCAGAGGAGCCUCCCCCCUUAGAGCUCCUGAAAAGCUCUUCUAGGGCCCUAUAGUUGACACCCCUGUUCUCCGGGGUCCCUUCCAUUGUGAAAGUCUUUCCUGUUCCCGUUUGCCCGUAAGCAAAAAUGCAGACGUUGAACCCAUCCAUCACCGAUCUCACAAUUGGCAAUGUCUCCGCAAAAACCGCCUCUACAUGUACCACAAAUUUUUAAUAGACCAUUAAUUUCUACCAGCACAAUAACUUUUUAAGCCAAAAUCUACGCACAUUUUACAUCAUUAAUUUUUUUAAAAAAGUUCAAAUUCAAUUCACUUGAAGCCAAGUACUAUAACUACACAAGUUUAACAAAUCAGCUAAAUGAAUGGGUGAAUCAUUACCUUGACCAUCCCUUGGUCCAAAGACGUGAUCGAACUUGAAUUGCUUCUUGGAAGAGUCGGAACAGAUAAUCUGCAACUCGGUGUCGUGAGACGGAUCAAGAUCGAUGACAGAAGAAUGGCCUUUCGAGAUCUCUUCCGAGCUAAGCGGCCGGCACCGGCAAAACACCCGUAUGUUCCCCUUCAGCUCGAUCAGCUCGUUGUAAAGCCGCUUCCUUUCCGAGCAUUCCUCUGUGUACUUCCUCUUCAGGACAUUGUAUCUGGCCCCGCACUCCUCGACACACUUGUUCUUUAGGGUUUCGCACUCGGCCUGUAGCAAUUCAAUUUCGGAAACCUUUUCUUGGUGCUUCUUGAAUAGAGUAUUGUACUUGGUCCCUUAGACACAGAAAAUGGAAUUUGAUUAAUUCAUGGAGAAAGGAAAAAAACACCCAAAGUUUCAUUGAAAAAAGAAAGAAAAUGAAAAGCGCGAUGAGAUACCAAGAAGCUGGAGAGCAAGCGAGAGAUCGGGGCCGGAGAUUCCUUUCAGGGUGGGAGAAGGAAUGAGGCAAUCAUCCUUAAACGCCUGAGGGAAGAGAUAUGAACAUAAAAAUUUGUAUUUAAACACUAAAAUUGAGAUUUAACACUAUGAAUUAAGAGUGCAAAUUCGAUCCAUCCCACAAAACGAUAAUAAUGUGAAAUUGAUAACCUGGAUGAUGUUGCUCGAAUCCUCUUCCAUCUCCUCGGAUACAACAUUAGGGUUUUGAUCCUCUUCUGAGUCAUACGAACAAGAUCACAUCACAAAAUUAACCCCAAAUCCAUGAUUAAUGUAGCAUGAAAGCUCAUUUAAUCACAAAAGACGACUUUUCCCCUCCAAAAGAACAACAAAAACUUGUAAUUCGAAUCGUUUAAUCCAACACAGUAGAAAAGAAACAGAGGGUUUUGUAGGGUUUGAUCACGCAUCUAAAAAAUCUCUAGAGGGAAAGAUAAAAAAAGGGAAACAAGAUGGCUAUCGAGGGAUUCGCAUACCUAGGGUUUGUCGAACAAGUUCGCACUUGUUUUGGUCCACCACAGCUUCUUCGCCCAUUCUUGUUGUGGUGUGGUUCGGAGGAGUGUUUGUGAAGGUCGAAUGGGGGAGAGAGAGAGAGAGAGAGAGAGAGAGAGAGAGAGAGAUCUCCAACGGUCGAAUGGGGAAGAGGGGGGAAAUUCAUGGAGGAGGGUUUCGUAAGAACGUUGGGAGAUUUUGAUUUUUGAAUUUGAGAGUUCCGACGACCGUUGGAUCGGCAGUGAGCAUUUGACGGCUCUGAUUUCCACUGGAUCUAUCACUAUUCUCAGUGGACCAGUCCCACCACUUCAUCCAUGAACCGCCGAAACAACAUAGUUUUCGGUUACACAUGGACCUUACAGUAUUAUUUUGUGAUUCAAAAAUUAUACUUAACUAUCUUCGGGUCUAAUAUAUUGUUACUUUAUCAUUCUAUAGUUUAAAAAUUAUACUAAAAUAGAGAUAAAAACUACAGAAUAGUUAAAUAUAAUUUUUUGAACCAUAAGAUAACAAAAUAAGAAUAAGCUAAACGAUAGGGGGCAAAUUGAAGUUUACCCAAAAACAAAUAAAAGUGGCAAUAUAGAAGGGCUCGGUAAGUACAUGAUUGUUGGGUUUCGAACUUAGCACCUCAUACUCUGAUACUAUAAGUAAUAAUGUGAAACGAUUGUUUUAUCUCUGAAAAAUAAUGUCUUUAAUAUUUAUAUUAGUGGUCACGUCCCACCGAAUAUUGCUCCAAAUAGCGAGUUAUAUAAUUAUAGCAUAAUGAAGAAUAUUUUUUCACAAACAAAUGAGAAUACUUUUACCUAUUCUACAUUUCUUUUCUUUCUUAUUUAUGAAAUUUCUUCAUGCAUAAAAUUAAAUUGAUUGUAGUUUCUUUUUCAUAAUAUUGCAUUGGUGACUGCUAAGAAUAAUCAUUUUUUCUUCAUAAAUAUAUCCUUGAAUUUGUUCUUAUCAUAGUUAUCAUUGUAGUAGCCAACUAGUUUCUACAGUAAUUUUUUUUUUUAAAAAUUAUGGUUUUGCAGGAUAUGAAGCUGCUGAUCCAGCAAUAAAGCAUUAUCUUAUAUUCUUUAGCAUGAUCUUUGGUGUUGCUAUUAUCUCCCACUCAAAAACUCAAAGAGACAUCAGAGGAAAAGACACAUUACAUAUUAAAUAUGAAUCCAUAAUCCUUGAUCUGGUACCCAUAUCAAACCAGAUUCUGAAGAUCCUUGUUCUCACACUAGAGUUACGUGUGUUUACACUUUACACGUUUUGGCAAAUUCUAAUAUACAUGUCAUUUUCCUUAAUUUCAUUCUGAAAAUGUUCUUUAACCUACAAUUCGAUUCUGAAAUGUUCUUCAUCGAGGCUUAGUUUAAGGUCUGUCGAAUUUGAAGUGCCGCUGGUCGAAGUUAACUUGCCAAUUGCCAUGUUUUUUUCAAAGAAAGUUAGCAGAUAAUGUGGCUGCUACCAGAUUCUCUGUCUUAGUUCCUGAUUCUUUUGGUGGAGAAGCAUCUGUACCUGAUAAUCCACAGAUUUCAAGAGCAGCAUGGUUGCAAAAACGUAGCGUGGUAUGUCACGACAGCGUUUUUCCGUUUUGAUCAUAGUGUUUACUCGAGAUAUUUCCAGAAAUUAAGUCGUUUUUUAGAUUUUUAUAUCACUGAAACAUUUUCUUCAAGAGCUGCAACUUUUCGAACUCUCAACUUCUCAAAUCCUCGCGACUGUUUCCCUUCCUGAAACUUUCCUCAUAAGUAGCAAUAACACCAUUGUUUUCUAAAAUAAUUUUGCACUGCGCUAACGAGUCGCGUGUUUCUCAUGGAGUGAUUACUUUUUGUUUGUCCCAAUCAUCACUUGCUUUUUGAGUGUGUAUCAAACUACUUGUAGGAUAAAACGCUUGAAUAUGCAAAAGCAGGAACUGAAGCUUUGAAAAAUAAAGGCAUAUAUAUCUGCAGUAGGAGCUGCUGGCUUUAGCUGGGGUGGUAUGUUUCAUAUCUGUUCUGACACACAUUAUAAUUUUGAGGGUUAAAGACAUCUACACAACUAUUUCCUAGUGUCUCAAAUCGCUCAUUUUAAUCUUCCCACUUCCCAGCCAAGAUUGUUGUACAACUAGCGAAGUCCGAUUGCAUCAAAGCGGCUGUCAUGCUGCAUCUGUCAUUUAUCACAGUCGAUGAUAUCAAAGGUAUGCUUAUUUGUUUGACUAUACAUUUCUAUCUUAUUAAAUGGAUUCAUCAUGUUAAUAAUAUAUGCGACGCAACUAGCUGCAGAGUCACUCUCUGGGCUCCAGUUGAGUGUCCAACAGACCAUCAUGUAUAUUGAUUCUUAAAUAUACCUACAUGUAUAUUAAAUUUAUAGGUGAAAUCGUGUAGAUAUGCACGUCGGCAUUAUGUAUGUAAACGUAUGCGAAAUAUGCUCUUGCAUAUUACUUACUGCUUGGGUUGAUGCUGCUAUAUACAAUCCCUUUUAGCUCUUAUACUAAUAAGAGUUGAGUUGCAUUUAUGGCCUUUCGGUGUUAUUUAGGGGUUGCAUUUGAGUACAAUCCAUAUUAGCAAUUAAUUGAAUUGUUGUUGGAAACAAAUAUACACAGUAACCACAUUCAACAGCAACAGAACAGUAAUGAAUUUGUCAAUAGAUCCUGGGAGAUUUCACUAUUCGCAAGAUCGUGUCAAAUAUUUAGAUUCUAUCAUGCAAAAUUCUACAACUUUUUGAAGAACAGAAACACUCAAGAUUUGAGCAAUCUGGGAAAAGCCAUAUAUAAUCGAACUAGCACAUGCAUUGCACAAGGAACAAGCAUAUUUGUUAGAGUAAAAGGCAUGACUAUGUCGGAAAUGCUUCUUUAGGUGUUCUGGAUGCAUAGAUUUUCUAAUGUGAAGUGGUUAUUGAAAGUGGUGAUUACUUUCCAGAUGUUAAAUGCGACAUUUCGACGACGCCUCUCCGCCCGAACUGAUGAGACAAUUUGAGAUAACUGACAUGCUUUACAUUUACAUGUUUGACAUCAAUUGCGUGAACCAAAAAAAAUAAAAAAUAUAGUACCAUAAUUCUUUGUAAAAGAAGAAGGUUGCCAAACCCACUAUAGCAAAAUUUCUGCAAAAUUGCUUGAUCUAUUCCAAAAUUUCAAUAAAAAAGGGAAAAAAAAAUCAACCAUGACAUUGUUUGUAUGCAGCACAUAUUGUUCCCACAUAAGCAGAGACACGCUACCGAUGCCUCGAUGGUUGAUCUUUUCCCGAUAAGAAAUUGCGAACAAUUCAAAAACUUUUGAGUGGCCAAGUUCUUCUCCAGAUCAUUUUGUAGUUAAUGAAGUUUCCAAGAAAAUAGCUGGUGUGUUUUUAUACUAUGCGACUGAGUAGAAAAUUGUCCACAAUAAUCUUCUAUGGUCAUCAUCAAUGCGUCAAACUUAGCAGCAAUUGUUUCUUGCGCAGACGAGUAGCUUCAUCAAGAUCUAUCUUAACGAUGAGCAGGCCGUAAAGAGAGCGGAAGAAGCUCAUGAGGACAUGCUGGGAUGGUUCAUCAAGCAUGUUAACUAAGAAAUAUCUCAAAUAAACAUUGUAUCUGUCAUUCAGAGUACAAAACUGCAUACUUAACAAUCUUCAUAGCAACUGCCUGUUUGAGAUGUUUUAAUGUAACAAGGUGAUGAUAAACAUCAUAUGGAGUUGAAAAUAGCAGGUUAAGCUAAACAGUUACAUGUUUAAGUAGUUUCCAUCCUACGGUAAAAUUGGCGACGACUAAGUUGGGUGGAAACACGAGAGACGACAAGAACAAUAGAACAUUUUGUAAAUUUUCUAAAGUUUAAUUGAUUACGCGAUUAGAACUUAUAUUAGUGACGGAAAAAGAGCGUAGGGUUAUAACUAUUUUUCUUUUUUUCAUCGUACAUGCUAGAAUAACGACAAGCCACCAAUCUUUAUAUUAUAAGUGCUUUAUUUUCAAGUCUAACACACCAAGUUCGACAGCACUUUCACACACGAAUAACAACGCGAAAGCAGCAUAACAAGCUCAUGGAAUAUAGUUCGAUAUCUGAACAAGUCUUAGAAGGUUUUACUUGACAUACUUAGUUAACCACGCCAGCGUGUCGCUCUGCGCCUCCUCAGCGCUCUUAACUGCCGGCGCAUCAUCGGUCCUGUAUCUAACAGACCAUCCAUGUGCAACGCCAGGAAAUAUCUUGACGAAGUAGUCCCCCUGUGACAUUAGUAGGCAGGAAAAAUUUCAUGAAUUUUGUUUGGUCCAAACAAAAUUAGAAACUAACUAUUUUGAUCUCUGUUGAUUUCAGUUUCUGCUGCGCAUAUACGAAAGAUGAAAGUUUGCCAUUGUAGAAAUCCAAAAUGCAACAGACUUCGGUUAAAAUAGAUAAACAACGAAAUAAAUAAAUGAUGGCCGACCCAGUGAUCUGAUUUUAAUUUUGCGGUACCGUUGGUUGAAGUUGCAAUGAUACCCAGAACAAGGAAGCGGACUCAAACUUACGAGCACGAUGAACUAAAUAUUGUAUAGUACUUUUUCUCUAGCUAAGUUCACGUUAUUUGCAUAAAUCAAAGUGAUUACGAUAUCUAAGUUGGUAAAGAUUAGAUCAUAGAUCAUACAUGUUAUUCCUAUCUUACUGAAAGUUGGUGUAUAACAGGAUAUUUAAGCUGAAUGGCUUACUACAUGGAAUCAAAGCAACACACACUUUACUUUGCUAUUAUAAUGAUAAACUCACCCCUCAUGCUUUGGUCAUGAAAAAAUCAACAAUUGCUUCUCCAGAGGGAACUGGAAAGCACAUGCUUAGUCAUUGGGGUUUUUGCAGAAAUUACACAAAUAACCCUGCAAACUUGGUAUUUGCACAUGUGCAGUUGAAAAAGUUGCUUAUUCGUGCUCGUGUGUGUCCCUCCUAGAGGCACGAAAGCAAAUGAAUACGGUCUUCAACAGCAUACAUGCAAAUACCAACUUUGAAAGUGGUGUUUGCGCAAUGUUGCAUAUUUGCGUAUGUAAAUAUGCCAAAGAGAGGGGCUGCCACAGUUGUCGCAAUACAACAACAGAAAAUUUUAGCUUGUUGACUAGCACUCUAGGCUUCUCUACUCCUUACAACAGAAAAUAGCAGUAAUAUAGUCAAACAAAAAGAUUUCCACAGGCUGGUUGAUUCCCAAAAGGUAGCACUAUUUUAUACUAUUUAAUAUAAACCAUAGAACUAAGCAACUAGAGAUGCAAAACCCAGCACCAGUAUAAUCAAGCCGAAUAGUUGUGUUGAAGUCCAACUCACCUCAGCUCUCGCAGACAAAACCUCCCCAAACUGUUUCACCAAUUCAGGAGGUGAAAGAUGAUCUGAUUCAGCCCCGAGAAUAGCAAUGGGACAUUUAACCUCUGAAUAUUAGAUAAAUAAUUAGCUUAAACUCAAUAAAAUAAAAAGUUAGUAUCCUAUAACAGUAUCUUAGAAACUAAGAUUAUUCCAAAAAAAAAAAAAAAGAAAAGAAAAAAAAAUCAAGCAAUUAAAUUACAUUAUAGACCUCCCAAAAGCAUAAAUAUCUUUAGGUAUGCGCAGAAGCAAAAUAUACUUCAGGAAUAUCCAGAAGCAAAUUAUACCUUUGAAAUCAUCAACAGUGACAAAUGAAGGAUGCAGAAGCACAGCAGCUUGAAUCUCACCGGCUUUUGCUAAUUCCACUACUACCUUGGCUGAGAUGAGACAAGUACCCGAUCAUAAAACAGAAAUUGAGAAUAACGGUAAAUUACUCAGAAAAUUUAAUAGUGAACAUUCAUCAAGAAAAUGCAUAUCUAUACAAAUAGGUGUCCAAAACACCACCUUAAAGGAUAAACUAAAUAGAGAAGUUUCAUGCAUGGCACUUAACACUUACCACCCCAACAGUAGCCAACAGCACCAAUUGCUGAUAUCCCUUUAGCUUUUAGAGCUGCAACAACCAGUUUUGCUUCUUCAAAUCCUUUAUCCUAAAAUGGCCAUGCAAGAUGGUUGGUUGCUUAGUUACACAACUAGACAAAAGUUUAGCAAAUUUAGUUACCAAACAAAACUGUAGAGUUUUGUUUAUAGCGUGCAGGUGUAUAAGGUUUCGUGUGCUAUCACACCCAGAAAUGGAAAGAGGAACAAAAAAUUUAGUGUAUAUUUUUUAGCAAACCAAGAGCAGAAAGGCCAAAUACUUCAUCUUCUAAAAAGACAUGUAGUCUGUCUAACAACAAAUCUCGAUUCUUCUCUGAUGGGUAUAUCUUCCUCAAAGACUUGGGUCGUCAACAACCACUACUGCCCAUUUGGCCUUUAAGCUUUUGUUUCUGCUUUCAUAAGCAGCUACAUCUUGUACAGCCAUUUGACAAACUGAAAAGUCAAGAGCUUCCACUCUGGCUGGAAGCUAAAAUGAGCUUCUAAGCCCCAUAUGCAGAAGUUUCAAGUUGAAGCUAAUGCUCCAGCUGCAAAAAGAAGCUGUUAGGGACAUUGUAACGGAGAAGUCAUUAGUGCUUCUAUAAUGGCACUAUACAAACAGCACUUCAUAGAAAAGCAGUGUAUCUUAAAGCCAAGUCAAACAGACUUUGCAGCACCUCUCCAGGGCCGAGAUUGACAUGCUUUACUGCUUCGUAAUUUUGUUAUGUGCAUUCUCAGAUAACCAGUGCAAAUGGGAUUACAAAGGCCACCAUUGUCCAGAAAAAGAAAAAGCUUUUCAAUAAUUGCUUCAAACCCUCAAAUCAUCCUCCUAAAGAUAGGCCAAAUUUUCUUCUAAAUUCUAUCUCUCCUAAAUCUAAAAUUUAGAUUUUCUACAUUUCUCUUAUGUGCUCCACACUCCACACUUUUUCCUUUCGUGAGUAACAAGGCCCUUACUAUUUACAAAGAAAAGGGGCUAUUUUUAACUUGAUAAGGAACAGCUUGCUUCAAUGAAGAACAAGAAUAGAGAGCAAAUCAGCAAGAAAAAUGUGAUUCCAAUAAAUGUUUGUCAACUAUAUGAACUCUUUCAACCAUUUCAGCUUUACUUUGUCUGAGACAACCACACAGCUAGUUAGUUAAUGUUAGCUAGAAAUAUGGGUAUCCCACCAAUGAAGCUUAAAUCACACUCAGAAAGAACUAUGAGACGGAGACAUACCGUAGUAUGAGAUUGUAUCCACGCUUGGAAAGGUCUCUCAGCAUUACUAAGCGAGAAAGGGUCCCCAUGGAAAAAAUCUGGAACCACCACGAAGUAUCCAGAAGCUGCAACUUUGUCUGCUAUUUUCCUUCAUAAUUAUAUAUCAUGGCAUUAAUAUAAGGAAAAUACAUAAAAAAAAACUCCAGGAAAUUUGAAAGAAAUUUACAGCAAUUUGAAUGCGGUCAAAAAUAUGUUGAUACUCAAUACAAGAGCCUACAGUUGUAAAAGAAAAACAUAGAUUUUUGAAACAUAGACUUCAGGGGAAAACAAAUUUUCAAUUUAUUCAACUCGUCAAAUGAUAUACAAAACUCUGUAAGUUUAAAAAUAUCAAAAAGAGGGUAAAAAGUAAAAUCUCUAUAAAAACACCCAUAAUUCUCCAAACUGCUGAACUACUAGAGGCUCUGAUAGCUAUCAAGCCACAGCAGCACUACGUCUCUUUGCAAGAUUACAUACUUGAUUUCUUGAUAUAACUAUAAAAAUUCAAAACAUUUCAGCGUGAUCGCUUAGAGGUUUAAAAACCAAAUAAUGUAGAAGCUCCUAAAUUUCAUAGUUGACUCCCUGAUUUAUUAUGUUGCCUAAUCUAUGUUGCACUAUUCUUCUAUUAGAAUGUUAGUGUAGACACUUUGUAGUUUUGAUAUGAACGUGUUGUAACAUUCCUUUGUGUUUACGUAAUUAGGUUAGAUUUACUCGACACUAGACCAGGUUUAACUGAUAUCCCGAACCAAUUUAAACAAUUGAGAAGUUAGAACCUAAACCGAAAACCCGUGUAACCCAAAAAAAGUGGUUUAAGGAAACGGCACAAGGCUUCUUAUACCGAUUUUAAUGAUAAAUCGUAGUCAUUUAUUCAUACCUCAGGUUUGGUGCUUCAAAUCCUGCAAAAAAAGACCAAAAAAUGCAUGUUAGACAUUUAGCCACAAACCAGGCAGCGUAUGUAAGUAAACAAAAACAUAAAAGCCAAUUCAAAUAGUAUUGUAACAAAAGAAACAGUAAAGCUGAAAAACCAUAAACCCCCGGAACUAGAUCAAUUGCAGAUUUGCACCCAAACAUCUAAAAAGUUUAAAAAUAAAUUACCUAAACUCUACAAUAGUUCGGAUCAACCACCUACCUCAAAUUCUAUUAACUUUUUUCCUUUGAUUAAAGAUUGUUCGAAAAAUUACCAGAAUUCAUCGGUAAGCACCAGAUAAUAGUUUCUAUUUUUGGACGUUUCAGAUCUAAUUUCUAAUUCUUUCAGAAAACACAUCAAACUUUUCCAUAUGUCGAAUACCCUAGUGGUGACUGCUGCUGAAAGCAGGAGCAAAAGUGCAGUUAAACAAGGGGCCAAAACCCUCUUAGAGAAAGCCCAACUUAAAAGCACCAAAUUUCAGUUUCUAUUUUUAGACCUAAAAUUCUCAUUUCUGAUUCCUACAGACCAAACUUUUCUAUUUUCCGACCAUUGCCAAAAGCAAAAGCAAAAGCAGAAGCAGAAGCGGAGCCAAACAAAAACUAGAAAACAUUUCGGAGAAAUCCAAACUUAAAAGCGCCAGAUUAUAGUUUGAAACUUUUUCUGGUUAUAGUUUCUACUUUUAAAUCUCUCAAUUUCAUUUCUGAUCUCCAGCGCGAAAGCAUCGAGCUUUUCAAUCUAUAAAACACUCUGCUGACGAAGACUGUUGCUGAAAGCAGAAGCAGAGCCAAACAGACACUAAAAGCGCCAGGUUAUAGUUUGGAGCUUUUUCUGGUUACAGUUUCUAUUUUGAGAUCUCAUAAUUUCAUUUCAGCGCUCGAGCAGAAUCAUCAGAGUUUUCUAUCUAUCAAAGCACUCUACUAACAAAGACUGUUGCUAAAAGCAGAAGCAGAAAAGGGCCCAGCUGACACUAAAGCGCUUUUCUGGUUACAGUUUCCAUUUUGAGAUCUCAUAAUUUCAUUUCUGAUCUCCGGAGCAGAAGCAUCAGACUUUUCUAUCUAUCAAAGCGCUCCGCCUGCGGCCACAGAAUCAGAUUUUUUUUUCAGAGAUAGGUAGCGAGCUAUCCGCUUCGUUUAUUUCAUUUAGAAAUAAACUUAGCUAAAAUGUGAAUCAACUAGGAUUCGAACUUGAAAACUCAGGUACCAACCAUCAAACCCUUUGCCACUUGCUCUGGAAACAGUCGGUCACAGAAUCAGAUUUUAAAAACGAAACGAAAUUGCCAAAAGCUAUAUUGGACCGAAAAUCAACUUUGAGAUCAGAAUCACUUCUCAAAAAUUAGGCCAAACACAAACAACCCCUGGAACCUGUAAAAGAAGUCUCAACUAGAAUCGAGACACGGAGAAACCCUGAAAAGAAUUAGGGUUGUUGCGCAGUGAUGGUACCAUAAACGUCGGAGAUGAGAAGGACGGCGAGCUUGGAAUCGGGGGAGCCGGCGGUGUAGGCCCGGAGGCCGCCGAGGUCUUCGACGACGGCGCCGCCGCCGCCCGUCGGGCUCAGCGUCGGCGGGUUCGCGCAGCACUGAGAGUGCGCCAUCACAACAAAAGGAAAAUAAUAAUAAUGAUAAAAAAACAAACCAAAACAAAAAUUCCGAUCUCAGAACACGUAUAUUGCCUAUGGAGCAGGAGAGUCGCAACGGUUUUAAAUUGAGGGUGUGCAGGAAGGGUCUAGAAGAGUAGAAGAUAGUCCACAAAUGACAACACAGGGCUUGGUCAUAUGUGGUCCUAUGAAGGUUAGACUUUUAAAAAAAUAAAAUAAAAACUCUGAGGCCAUGAUUGGUUGAGAGAAAUUAAGGGUGGAAGAAAGAAUUUAUUUCAUACUUAUUCUCCAAAUACAAAAGAAAAUGAGUGGAAAUAUUAAUUUUUAAAAUUACAAAAUUAAAAUUUUAAAUUUUAAAUUUUAAAAUUUUAAAUUUGAUAUUUUUAAUUUUUUAUAUUUGGAAUUUGAUAUUUUGUAUUUUUAAAUUAAAAUUUCAUCUUAAAUUUAAAAUUUUAAUUUUUUAAAAUUAUAAAUUUGAAAAUUUAAAAUUUUAAAGUUUAUAUAAAUUCUAAAAUAUAAAUAUUUAAAUUCUAAUAUAAAGAAAGGGAUAAUAUUAUUAUUUUUUAUUUAUAAUUACCAACUUUAAUUCUUAUUCCAUCUUAUCUAUCCAAACGUUUUUUUUUAAUUUUCAGAAAUAAUAUAAUUUUUAUCUUAAACGUAAAAUUAAUCUAAUUCCCACUUAUAUUUCAAUUUAUAACCAAAUGAUAUCCGGAGGUAUUUAAGAUUUGGAAAUUGCAAUAAUUUGGAUUGGAUGCGAAUAAAGAGAGUAGGGAAUCUUUAGGUAUCCAGUAAUUUAUUAACGUAAUCCGGCUAUUACCGUCAGAUUGAUUCGAUAUUUUGGAUUGGAUUUUUUUUUUUUGUUUUGUUGAAAAAAAGACGGGCCCGCAUGCCAAACUAUAAGUCCUUUUUAUCAACGAAAUAUUCAGGAAAAAAAGUUCUUAACUAUUUUUUCCAACUGAUCUUUUAAAACAAAUUAGCUACAAUAUAAAAUAAUUAAAUUUUAAAUAUAAAAUUUUUUAUACUAAUCAUAAAGUCGUUAUCGAAUUACACUUGAGGCAAACAAUUUUUAUCAUAAAAAUCUUUUUUUUUUAUAAGUUGUUGAUAUAUUACCAACAUGUAAAGUCUUUUUUGAAGACACGUUUUUUUUUUUAAUACACAAAGUAGACAGAACCGGCUGGGGAGGAAAAAAUUCUAGAAUGCACCGGGUGCAUUGGUGACGUGGCGUCACAAAUCAAUCAAAAUUUUCCUUUUAGAGAUAUAUGUCCCAUCAUGAUUGUAAAAAAAUAUUUUUAUUGUACUUUUAUUUGAAAAGAAGGGAUGUGAUUGGUUUGUUAUUGAUGACGUGGUGCAAGUGUGACAGUGUAGAAUUCCUCCUGGGGAGGAGGCCCGGUCCGGCCUGACAUCAAAAAUAAAAUAUUUAAUAAUUUUUGUAUUCAUGUUUCGGGCAUCUAUCUAUAAUAAUCUAUAAUGUAUAAUCUAUAACUAUAUAUCUAUAAUCUAUAAUCUAUAAUCUAUAAUCUAUAACUAUAUAUUAUUCCUCAAUAACUACACACGUCUCACGAGGAGGCCGAGGCGCAGGCCAGGGCGGCCACGGGCGCUGCGCGAGCACGGCGUGGGCGCCAGCUCGGGGGCGGGCUCUGGCGCUGGCGCCGCGGGGCGAGGGCUAGUGUGGCACGGGCGGGCGGGGCGGGUGCGGGGGGUGCUCCUGGCGCUGUGCAGGCGGAGCGAGGGCGGCCGACGGCGAGGGGGGGCAACGGGGGCAGCGCUGCGGCAAUCGUGCACGGCGCAGGGCUGCGCGGGGCGAAAAAUCAUUGCGGCUCUUAGUUGGUGUGGGUUGCACAGGCCUCGUAAACCGCACUAUGAGGAGGUUCGCACGAUGGGACCUCGCUCUCAGUUCUUCUCUUCUCUCUCUCUUUUCUAUAUUAUAUCUAUUUAUGAUAUAUAUAUAUAUAUAUAUAUAUAAUAUAUAUAUAUUAUAAUUUUAUUAUAAUAUAUAUAUACUAUAUAAUAUUUUAUUUAUAUUAAUAUAUAUAAUAAAUUUUAUUUAAUAAAUAUAUAUUUAUUAUUAUAUAAUAGUAUUAAUAUAUAUAUUAUAAUAUUAUUAUAUUUAAUAUAAUGUUAUUUAUGUAUUAUAUAGUUAUUUUUUUAUAUAGAUAAUAUUAUUAUAUAAUAUUAUAUAUAUGUACUAUUUAAUUUUUAUAAAAUGAAAUAGAUAAAUAAAUGUUAAAUAAUUUAGACUAUUAUAUUAACGUAUACUUAUUGCACUUACGUACUUACUAAAUUAUUUGCGUACUACUGGGAUUAAGAUGCCUACUAAAAUAUUUCUUUAUUACAUGUAGGAAAGAUAAUCUGAUUAUUUUUAAAGUCUAUUUCGUAAUUUGCCGUAAUAUUUCAUAAUUAUCUGAAAUAAAUUUUAUAACUAAUUUUUCAAAAUUAAAUUUAUUAAAAUAACUAACGCGCAAUGAUUUCUCUUCUCAAUUUCAACUAUACUACUGGGGACUACCAUUCUACUAAAUUAUUCACUAACUAAUUGGGACACCUGUGGCCUACUAAAAUUUUUUGAUGUAGUUAUUGCACUAUUUAAAUUUUGAAAUUAAUUUUUAUAACUAAUUUUUAAAAUUAAAUUUUAAAAUAACUACCCGCAGCAUCGUGCGGGUCCCUUAACUAGUUGAUCUAUAAUUUGUGAAAACAAAAUAUUAUUUUAUAUAAUAUUUUUAUUUUAAAAAGAUGAUUUAGAGGCCAGAUAUAGUAUUUUUUAGAUAUUUCAUAUUUGUAAAUGAGCCUAUUAAAAAGAUUUCUUCUUUUUAAAAAAAAAAGGUCUAAACAAUAUUGCCCAAUUUGUCUAACAGAAAACGGGGACUCAUUGCAACUUAGUCUUGGUUCAACAUAAAAUCGUAAAAAAUAAUUUUUCAUGUAAAAAAAAAUUGAUAGAAAAACUUUUUACAUUUUAUAGUAUUUGAUUUAUAGAAAAAAAAAAAAGAGUUUUCAUCCGUAUUUGUUUUGUUUAGAGGGCAGGGCUUUUGGUUCAGCAUAAAUCAACUGAAAAUUAUUCUCGAUAUGAAAAAUGUUUUUUCAUUUGUUUGAUUUGACCUCAAAAAUGUUUUUACAAAUUCAAGAAAAAAGUGGAGUUUUUGUUUUCUACUAUUUUUUAGCGGAAAAAGCUCAAGCUCCGUAAAACUUUUUUAUUCAUAUUUUUUCUAUUGAAUUAAAUAAAUAUAAAUUAUUUUUUUCUUUUCCCACAAACCAAAUACCACAUAACAUAAAAAAAAAAAAAAUUCCACUACAAAAAAUUUUUCUUAGAAUUUUCCGAUGAACUAAAUAGAUUCCUAACGGAAAAAAAAAUGAAUGAAACAGAUUUUAAGCAGUUUGAAUUUUCAUUUUUUGCCAAAAUAAAUAAUGAAUUUUUUAUUUUUUCAAAUUCAUAAAAAUAUUUUACAUCAAACCAAAAAAAAGCCCCCUUAUUCCAAACGCACCCGGCCGGUGCGAGCAAAAGAGGGAGACUUGCAGCCCUGUGCGAGAAGAGAGAGAGAAAAGGGCAAAGAAAAAAAGAGGAGGGAAGAUGGCAUCGGCACUGACGAGGGCGAAGCGGCCGGCGGCUGCGGCGGCGCUGGCGGCGAUGGCUGUCAGGCGGGCCUUCGCGUCGGUGGCCGUCGGCUCCGACAUCGUGUCGGCGGCCCCGGGCGUGUCGCUCCAGAAAGCCCGGUCGUGGGACGAGGGCGUCUCCUCCAAAUUCUCCACCACCCCUCUCACGGAGAUCUUCCAGGUCCCAACUGCUAUAUGUUUUAUACAGACUCUCUCAACUGUAGACUACUCUGAAAUAUAUGAUCUGAUCCUUCAGUUGUUUUAUUUUUGAGUGCGUUGAAAAUCAGUUGAAUUUAACAAAAUUUAGAGUUAAGUUGAACUAAAUCGUCAAUUAUGUUGGAGAAUAACUUGAGUUAAAAAUAUAUAUAUAAUUAUAUACGAGUGCGGCUACUAUACUAUCGAUGUUACCAAGCUCUUGGUACUCGAGUUUUCUGCCGUUAGAUCUAUCCUUUGAUUAUUUUCAUCCGUUCGAUUAUACUAUUCAACCAACCGCCUAUUCAACUCUAGGAGACCACUGUCAUCCUAACCGCGCAUCCUUUAAUCCAACGGCCGAAAACUCGAUAGCACCAAGCGCUUGGUACUAUCGAUGGUAGAGUAUAGAAUGACAUGAAAAAUAGCUGAGGGGUCAACCUCAAAAUGGCCUAUACUGGAGAGGUGACUGAGGUCCUAAAAAUUUUACACAAAAUAUCAACAUACCGCGCUCGUGGAUUUUUCCGAAUCUUUUCAGACUCUUAGCAUUGUAUGAUCUCCUCUCGUUUAAUUUAAGGGCCUGUUUGGACCGUAUUGGAAUUUCUCCUGGAAAAUUGAUAUAUCCGGAGGAACUUUUGAUUUUGCCGAAACAAAAUCACUGUAUCUAGUCAUGAUUUGAAUCUCUUUGCUCCGGCAAUAAUAAAAUUUGCUUUGGACAUAUCAAUUUCCUUUUUCUUGUGUAAUUGGUAGAGAGUAUUUUGAUUUUUGCAACAUGCAUAAUUUGGCUACGGGGUGAUUAUAUUAUUCCGAAAAAUUGAUCUGAAUGCCGAAUGUGGUAAAUCGGAGAGAUAUACGGAAUAAGGUAUGCAUCCGAAUAGGGCCAGAGUCUACAUUUGAUCGGACUCAGUCAUCUAUCAAACACUAUAAACUUCUUGAGUAAAUGAAAAAAAGAUAUACAAAAUAAGAUAUUCAUGCAUCCAAACAGUGCCUAACUCUACACUUUAUUCCUCUAAAGACUCAAGCUUUUAGAGAAACACAGUUAUUUCUUUUGAUUUUUCUAAAUUUUUCUCCUUUUUUUUGAGCGUUCUAGUCUUUUGAUGUCAUUGCAGGGAAAGAAGGUGGUCAUCUUUGGUUUGCCGGUGAGUCCUCCGUGGGUUUUGUUCCUGUUUUUUUUCUUAUAUAUAAAUGCAUGAGAUAGUAAUGUUUAUUCUGGUUCAUGCAAAACUUAGAUAGAGAGAGAAAAGGAUUGGGGAGAAUGAUUAUAAUUUUAUGUGUUAGCAUUUUAGUAUAUAUGACUAAAACUCAAUGCGAUUUUAUUCUUGUUUCUCAUCUUUUGCUGCUAUCAUUUUAUGUCAUUGCUAUGAUGAUUUUGAUGAAUCACUUGAAGUUCGCAAUCUGUAAUAUGUCCGAAUGGGGUUCUGUUUAUAUAUGUUCCUUGAUUUGUUUCUUUUUCCGAACUCUCAACUCAAGUAUCUUAAAUCUUAGGUUUAUACAUACCUUAAUAUUUGAAGUAACUCCAAUUGUACUUUAUCAGGGUGCGUAUACUGGCGUUUGUUCGCUACAACAUGUGCCUAGCUACAAGAACAAUAUUGAAAAGUUCAAAGCGAAAGGGGUCGAUUCCGUUAUCUGUGUCGCCGUAAAUGAUCCGUAUGUUUUGAAUGGAUGGGCAGAGAAACUACAGGCUAAGGAAGCGGUAAGAAAUUAUUCCUUCCCCUUCUAGUCAUCUUUGGGUGGAAAUGGUGAUUGUUGAUAUAUCGAUUUUUAUUUUUUCUCUAAUUGGACUUCAAGUACUUAUAUUGGUAAAAGCUUUUAAACCUCCAACUCUACCCUGAAAUUAGGCAGUUGAUGAUAUUGUCUCAUCUCAGUUUGGCACUGUCUAAUAAUGGAUUAGCUGAUUACGCAGUCAAAUUAAACAAUGUGAGAACCGACUGCAAAAUGGUUCAAGGAAUGGUAUGUUUUUGCUUGGUGAGAUCAUAGGUAGUUGUGAUAUACUAUAUCAAGCAAGAAUUUGUAAACAAUGCUCGAGUAUGUAUCAGAAACACUAUUUCCAAGAGAUGGGGAUUUAGUUGGUUAGCGACUGGAGUGCCUACGUGGAUCUUUACCAUUUGCCAUGCUAUCUUUUUCCCUCUGUUCCUACACUUUUUCAUAAUUAUCUAGAAUCUUUAUACAUAUGUGUAACACCGUUUCCUUAAUGGGAUUAAAAUAGUGAUUCUUAUGGUAAUGGAUUAGAUGCAAGGAGUCAUGAGUUAAAUACCUUAAAGUAGACCCUAUCUAUCACAAAUCCAUUUACCAUCAGCUACUGCUAGCAAACUAUACAUAUUUUGCCAGUUUUGAAGAUAGUUUAACACAAGUAAAUUUGCAAAAUAAUGACUUUGUGCCUUAAUCUAACCUUGUUGAGAAGCGAAGCCACUGUGUAAGCCUCUCUCAUCAGGCAGCACUGGCAGCCGGCUGGGAUGCCGCCUUAGCACAAUAUAGACGCAGAGACUCCCUAGCAUACCUUCUGGGGAAUACUCUGCAAAUUUUCCUUAUCUUUGUUGCAUUUUAUGUACUGUUUGCAAGUUGGACUAUAACAAUAUAUUUGUAUCUGGUAGAAUUUCAAGCCGCAUAGAUUAAGUUUGUUCGCUGUUGUCAUACCUUCUUAAUAGUUUGGCAUUUUAAUUUUGCUGCCUAGUUUGGCAUUUUAGUAGUUUGGCAUUUUAAAUUUAGUUCCAUCAUGUAUAGGCUUGCAUAUGAUUUGGACUAUCAGUUGCAUAAUAAUGAAAUGUAAAGAUCAGAAUACCUUUUUUAGAUGCAUCACACAUCUGUCUGUGUGCAUAUCCAGCACUGCAACUUUUAUAUGCGUGACACUUGUUUUGUGACAAAUUUCAUUUUAAGUAUGAUCCUUUUAGUGAAUGAUUAUAACCAUUUAUACUUGUUUUGGGGAAAAAGCAAGGUGUAUCGAAUGUGAUUGUUUUAAUUAUCCGAUGUAGAUUGAAUUUUAUGGUGACUUUGAUGGGAGCUUUCACAAGAGCUUGGAGUUGGACUUGGACCUCUCUGCUGCUCUUCUUGGGCGUCGUUCUCAUAGGUUGAUGCUUCUCUCUUCUUCUUCUUUUUUAUAUAAAUUAAGGUUGAUGCUUUUUUUUACUUCCGUUUUUCUCAAUAGUUACCAUACUUUAUCGAAGUUAUUGAUGAUUGAAUGUCUAAACACGAGCAAUUAUUCAUUUGAUCAUGUCGUCAGCAGCUAGUCAUAAUUUGCAUUUGCUGAAAAGUUUUUCCAGUUUGAUGUGGAUUCUCUGCAUCUCUUCGAAGAGAAAAGCCAUUGAUCAUGAUAACUUAAAAACUUUUUUAUGCUAGUUAUAUUAAACUCUGACGUCGCAAUGCGAAACCCAACUUUCCUGAGCAUGAUGUUCCAAGCAUGUUAUUUCUAUUAAAUUUCGGUCAGAAUUUAGGUUAUCAUACAGUUGUUUACUUGUUUGUGCCAAAGAAGUUUGGUUAAAACUUUGCAUUCGGUUGCAGGUGGUCUGCGUAUGUGGUCGAUGGUGAAGUGAAAGUUUUUAAUAUCGAGAAAGUGCCGUCUGAGUUCAAAGUUUCUGGCGCCGAGGUGAUAUUGGGCCAAAUCUGAACCGAUCAAUGAGUGCAUCUUUCGCGCUUGCGUAUUCUACCAGGGUGCUAAUAUAUCUGUAAUAAUCUAUGCAAUAACUAAAGCUUGUUAAUGGCAUUUUGUUACUGGGUCGCAUGUUAUCUCCUGUUUUUUUUUUUAGGUUUUUUUUUUUUUUUUUUGCAAAUAACUUAAUAAAAUUUAUAUUUGCAAAAUUGAUCUUAUCUCUCCAUGUGAGCACCACGCAAGCGUCAUGUUGGACAUGGAGUUUAAGUUGAACGUAAUGAUGAAUUAUUCAUCAUGUUCAAACACGGAGAAUAUUUUUUCGUGUUCAAGCGAUAUGUAUAAUCUCUCUCCGCACUCUCUCUCUCUCUCUCCGCUGCAUCCCCUGCCGCAUCCCCUCUCCUCCUCCUCUGCCUCCUCUGCUAUGCCUCCUCUGCUACCGCCUUCUUCGCUGCCCUCUACGAUGGUUUUUCACAUGACCUAUUAGUAGAAGGCGUGGAAGGGAAAACACUGGUUCAUCGUGUUUUCAAACAAUGAAUAAUUUAUCGUGUUCAACUUAAAUUCUCCUUUCAACACGGCGCUUUCGUGUUCAACUUAAAUCCCCCUUCCAAUACGGUUCGUGUUCAACUUAAAUCUCCCUUCCAACACGGUAUUUUCGUGUUCAACUUAAAUCCCUCUUUCAAUACGGCGCUUUCGUGUUCAACUUAAAUCCCCCUACCAACAUGGCACUUAUGCGACAUUCACGUGGCAGAGAUAGGGUUAAUUAUAUAAAUGUAAAUUUUAUGAGAUUAUGUAAAGAAAAAUUGUUAAGAGACUAAAUGGAAAAAAAAAAAAAAAAUCUUUAAAAUGUUAAUGGCCUUCUGUUACAUUGAAGCAAAAGAGAGAGUCCGGUGUAGACUCUAUUAUAAGAAGUCCAACUGAAUUAAUAAAUGCAGCUUUCAUUUCUUUUGUUCUUUUCCCAUCUGUGGAAAAUUUAUUGUCUUUGUCUGUCGUUAGCUUGGACUUUGAACUUAAAGAAUCAACUUUUUAUGUGCCUCAUGGAUGUAAUCUUGUUGUUAAAAUAGUGGUUCCUAGGUUUUUUGUUUUUUCCUUGUUCUUGUCAUAAUCAAGCUGCUCUUGGAGCGGAUAACCAUAAUCUUGCUGUAGCUUGCACUGUGAAUUUUUUUUUCUUUUUUUUUAAAUAAAUAUCAAGUGUGAAGUAGUUUUGAAAAUUUGACAUUUUGCGAUUAAUUUUUAAUCGAUCGCCAUAUUUACUGAAUGUUGUAAAUAUACUAAAUAUUUUUUCAACAAAAUCAAAUGGUACAUCUAUUGUGACUUUUAUUUUCUUUUUUAUCUUACUGAAGAAAAUUACUAAACCUCAAGAUGUAUAUUUCAUAUGGGAUGCAUAAUUAAUAUUUUUUUUAAUACUCUUUCUAAUACUCACUGCACCAAAAGUGGGUAUAAGACUAACACUUUUUUUUGUUGAAAGAUUAAAAGUUUAUUCUUAUCUUUUAUCUUUUAAUAAUUAUAAAUAAAUUCUUGGAUGACUGGUAUAAAUUGUGCACUAUUUUUUUUUUUUUUUUGGGUGUACAAGAAACAAUUUUACAUGAUCAAUUCUCCACCGUCCAUUACUUUGCCUAGGGGCCAGGCUCCUGCAAUUCGGAAGUGCGAGAAAUCAGAAAAACCGGACAAGAGCACCUUCAGGCUUCAGCACUCCCACUUAAAAACAACCGGGAAACUAGUGCCUGCUGCACCCAGUCCUCAGAACAAGAAAGCCUAUAUUAUUAUAAUAUUCAUACCACAUCAUCAAUAAUCAGUUAAUCAUAUUUCUUUAUUUGAAUAAAAAGUAUAAUAAAAAUAUUUUUUUUAUUAAUCAUGAUGGAACGAGUGAAUUCAAAGGUGACAAUGUACUUGGUUGGGGACGCCGCCACGUCAGUAAUAUAACCAAUGCAUUCUAGACGACUUCCCUCCAAAUCACCUAGCAUCAAAAAUCAGAAUCUAUGAUAUGUUAUAUAAUAUUUUAACUGCCUAAAUAAGUUAAAAAUAAUAAUUAUGAAAUUUUAACCCUGAUUUCUUAUAAAUCAAGUAAUUAACUUUUUUCUGAAAUCUUUUUUUUUUUUUUUGAGAGAUAGGUAGCACGCUACCUGCUUUGUUUAUUUCAUUUAGAAAUAAAUUUAGCUGGAAAUAUGAAUCAACUAUAAUUCGAACUUGGGUCUCGGAUACCAACCACCAAAUCUUUUGCCACUUCGGUUUUUUAUGAAAUCUUAAAAAUUGCAUUUUUGGUCAUGAAACUCUAAGACACGUGAUACUUUAGUCGCCGGACUUUUAAUUUUUAACUGACUUAAACUUUCAAAAUCGUUGCAAUCAAUUUCUGCUGCACAAAUUUUAGUUGGUUAAAUAGUGAUAUUAGUUGUUAAUGUCCACACGAUAAUAUUAUAAUCGAUGAAAUAAAUAAUAAUUAAUAAGAUAUUAAAUCAUUACCAUAUAUAAUCUAAAUAUCAGUUUUAGUUAAUUAAAUUUUACUAUAGGACUUAGUUAUAAUAAUUUAGUUAAAACUAAAAAAACAAAAUACCAUAGGCUUUAAAGUUUGAGGACCAAUAAAUAUAUAAUUAACUUAGCCAAAAAAUGAUACAUUGUGAAUGAGAAGGGGAAGUGUACAUUGAAACAAGUACAUCACAUCAUUUAUAUCCUAUCAAUAAGAUAUCAUCUUUUGAGAGAAAAAAAAUAUAAUAUAAGUAUUUUCUAAAAAUCAUGAUCAAAGAGGUGAACAUCAACUCUAAUAAAAACAAUUCAGAUAGUUGUGACUAUUACAUUCUAAAUUUUUUUUUGGAGAUGUAAGAAAAAAAUUUAGAAUGUACUAAUUAUGUUACUGGUGUGAUAUUUUCAACAAAUUAAUUUUUUUAAAAUUCAUCCGUCCCAUCAUAAUUUUUUUAAAAAAACUAUUUUUAUUAUAUUUUUUUAAAUAAAAAAAUAUAAUUAAUUCGUUAUUAGUAAUACAGCAGUAUAAGUGUUUUUUUUUUAGAGAUAGAUAGCAUGCCACCCGUUUCGUUUAUUUCAUUUAAAAAUAAACUUAGUUAGAAAUGUGAAUCAACUAGGAUUUGAACUUUAAAUCUCGAGUACCAUUACAGCAGGAUAAGUGUUACACAGCAGACUUUCUCGACAUACAGGGAUACACCGGUCGCACCAAUAAAUAAAAUAAUUUCUCGUAUUGUUAAUAUGCCCCGUUUAUUUCAUUUAAAAAUAAACUUAGCUAGGAAUGUGAAUCAGCUAGGAUUCGAACUAAAAUCUCGUAUACCAAUACAGCAGUAUAAGUGUUACACAGCAGACUUUCUCGACAUACAGGGAUACACCGGUCGCACUAAUAAAUAAAAUAAUUUCUCGUCUUGUUAAUAUGCCCCCGCUUCGUUUAUUUCAUUUAAAAAUAAACUUAGCUAGAAAUGUGAAUCAACUGGGAUUCGAACUUAAAUCUCGGAUACCAAUACAGCAGUAUAAGUGUUACACAGUAGACUUUCUCCACACGCAGGGAUACACCGGUCGCACCAAUAUAAAUAAACGUGUACGCCCCCCUCUUCCUCUCUGUCCUAUUCUUAAUCCGCCUCUCCGUCUCUCUCUCUCUUUCCUGCACGGAUCGAUUCGAUCCAUCUCCAAUGGAUCAGUAAUGAAUAAAAAAAAAAUAAAACAAAUUUUAUAAAAUUAAUUUUCAUUUCUUUUUUAAGAAAAAAAUUGUGGGGGGGGGGGGNNNNNNNNNNNNNNNGGGCGGCGGAGGACAUCCCGCUGGGGUCGGCGUGGUGGCUCGUGUACGCCGGGAUAUCGUGCGUGCUGGUGCUCUUCGCCGGCAUCAUGUCCGGUCUCACCCUCGGCCUCAUGUCCCUCGGCCUCGUCGAGCUCGAGAUCCUCCAGCGCAGCGGCUCCCCCACCGAGAAGACCCAGGCCGGUUCGUUCCCUUUCCUUUGUCCUUUUCUUUUCUUUGUUGUUGUUGUUGUUGUUGUUGUUGUUGAUGAUGCUGAUGAUGAUGUUGUUGUUGAUCUUAGUUUUUUUUUUUAAUUUUUUUAUAUCGAAUUGUCGAUCUUAGUUUUCAGAAUUUCAUUCCUUUUUCUCCGAUAUCGAAGCCCAAGAAAUGAAGGAAAAAGGGUAAAGAUGGGAGAAUUUUGGAUUUGGAAGCACCGGGACUCGAAAUCAGGACGACCAAUCUAAGCGCCCCUUAGAUUGGUGGCUUCUCCUCAAAUUUUGGUCUGGGAUGGGAGUGAAUCUGCAGUAGUGUUGAUCUGCGAUCUGUUUGUUAUUUUUACUAUUAAGGAAUUUCUGUUGCUCAUAGUUUAAGUGUCUUCGCCUUCAAAAACGGUUUGAUAUGCUCGUGAUCUGUACGGCCUGUGAAUAUGUCAUAUAAUGAUACAAUUUUUCGCAGAUCUUCUUUGUCUACUAUUGCCAUUUGAUUUUUCGUAGUUUUUCGCGCUAUGCGUUGAAGAGUUUAUGGUAGCUGCUGGCUUCGAGGACUAAUAACUGCCAUUUUAUCAAAUUAUCAAAUUUAGCUGUAAUGCUCUUUUGUUACGUGGUUUUCGUAUCUUCACUUAACAGUUGAUGUGCAUUUCUUGCAGCUACCAUUCUUCCGGUCGUUCAAAAGCAGCACCAAUUGCUCGUAACUUUGUUGUUGUGUAAUGCUGCUGCAAUGGAGGUGUGGUUAUGGUUGAGAAUUUUAUCGAGCAUUUGCAUAUACUAUUUGUGGAUGCGAGCAUCGAUGAGAGAAGCAUAUUUCUCUAUUGAAACUAUAAAGCUCAAAACCCUUUUUGUAUAGAGGUCCACAGCAAGAGAAGUUUAUGAAAUUUGAUUUUGUAGUCUUCAUGCUACGAUUUCACACUUGCGCAAAACUAGUAAUCUUGUGCAUGUCAACAGAUUCCAACUUAGCAACCAAAAUUAGCCCCGAGUGAAAGAAGAGCAAUUCAUGUUUCAUUUUCACGCAUGCAACGUUGCUAGUCGUGUGCACAUCAAUCGAUCACUAGUCUUUUUUGCAGUUUCCCAAUUGUAUCACGCUUAUUAAUUACUGCAGCUCUUGUUUCUGAAAGUUUAAUUAUUUUGCCAAUGCAGGCGCUUCCUAUCUUCCUUGAUAAGAUAUUUCAUCCUGUCGUUGCUGUUAUCUUGUCUGUAACAUUUGUUCUAGCUUUUGGAGAGGUAUGAUUUUCACUUUUCUUUGACCAUGCAUGCAACUCUGAUGCCCGUUUAUCUGAUCUGAUAAUAUCAUUUCUACUUUGUUUGUUCAGGUUAUCCCACAGGCCAUAUGUACAAGAUAUGGAUUGGCUGUGGGUGCUAAUUUUGUUUGGCUUGUGCGUAUUUUGAUGGUUGUAUGCUGUCCUAUAGCUUAUCCUAUUGGGAAGGUAAAUUAUUUUUCGAAGCAAAAUAUGCAUCUCAGUUCCUUCAUUUUGGAAAACAUAGGAAUCUUAGCAGCAUGACAUUAUCGGCCAAUAGUGGCUGCCUUUUUUUUCUCUCCUUUAAGCUCUAUUUAUCUUUCCCGUUGUCCUUAGAUGGUAAAAGUUGACGAAUUGAGGGGGUAAGUUGGGAGUCAGUUGAUUUUCUCUACUUUUAUACUGGGCAUAGGCAUAGAAUUCAUGACAAUAAUGUCCUCAUCGUUUAGAAACAUGUAUUUAAAACUGGCUUGUGGUAGAUAAUGAUUGGUUUUCCACUUGAACCCUUGGGAUAUAAUUAAUUAUCGAAAGUCGCUUAACUCACCCUUUCAGAACAGCAUGGUCUAGAAAGUUGUUAAAUGUUCUUUUCUAUUCUUGUAAGUGAUGGUGGUGACUGAGGGGUUUCAAUUGUUUAUGCUUUUCCAGAUUUUAGACUGGGCGCUUGGGCACAACGAAUCUGCACUUUUUAGGCGAGCUCAACUAAAAGCUCUUGUUUCUAUCCAUGGCAAAGAGGUAAAUCAAUUGGUGGAAAUUUGGUAAUUUAUUUUGUAUCAAUGCGUAGAUUUCUUGCGUAUCAAAUAUUGCAAGUUCUGUUGGAAAAUUUCAUCCUCUCUUUUUCGUGAUUUGCUAAAAAUAUACUGCUUUAAUUUUUAGGCUGGGAAGGGUGGGGAGCUUACCCAUGACGAGACUACGAUUAUAAGUGGAGCAUUAGAUUUGACUGAAAAGGUAUGCGGCGCAGUCAGAUAUUUCUGAAGUAUGUUUAAUUAAAAUUGCCCUAAUCCAUUGAAGCAUCUUCAUAUCUCUUUGCUAGGAUUCUUUCUAGUAAUGUAGUUGUUGCUAUGCUCUAUUUCUCUCUCUCUCUCUCUGAACUAAUCUAGUUGAGUUAAAUAUAGUUAUAUGUUCAAAUGCCAACCUAAAGGAGCCUUUACUCUUACCAAUCACCUGGAUAUUCCUAGUCAUGGAAUCAGCAUAAAACCUAUUUGUCUGUUAAAUGUUGCAGUUGACUAGUUCUAAUUACUUAGAAUGAUGUCGGAUGCAAGAAGCUACUUUGUGGGGCUAAAAGAAAAGUGAUAGACUACUGGACAUGCUUCAUUGUUGGUGAUCAUACCUAGGAUGGUUAGACUACUGGACUUUCUUCACCAAAUACAUUAUGAUGAAAUGGAGUUUUGCAAAUAGAAAUAGAGGCGAAAAAAAAAAGCUAUAAUAUGUUUCAUUGAAUCAGUUAGUUUCUAUUUGUGCUUUGUUAUAAUGAAUGUUGCUUUCUGUAGUUGUAUAUUACUUUCCAGUAAAUAUGUGCACUGGUGUCAAGUAACUCCAUAUCUUUAUGACGGUUCAGUGUCACAAUAAUAUGUGUACGAUGCUUACCAAGGCCAUACGGAACUAUGUACUGUUAGCCUGUGAUUGCUUUGUGCAAGGACGUCAGCCGUCUGUAUUUAGUUUCAUCUCCGAGUCGGUUUUUAUGGAAUGCAUGGUUGUUUCAACAUUUCAUGAACUGUUAUUUGUGUAUGCUAGGUUUAUAUCAUUGUUUAAGUUGUGAACUCGUAGCUACUAGUUCCUCUAUUCUAAAGAUUAUCUCUUUUGCAGACUGCUGAAGAGGCUAUGACCCCUAUCGAGUCUACAUUCUCAUUAGAUGUCGACUCAAAGUUAGACUGGUGAGCUUCAUUGGCCAUAUCACUCAAUGCUAAAUUGCUAAUUAGAAAUUGUUGUAAUUAAUUUGGAUAAUUUAUAGGCUAGACUUUACUUUUCUGUCGUUGUUCCUGCAAUUGCUUAAUAUUCUCCGCAUCAUUUCUAUUGGAGGAUAUUACUGAUUUCAGUUGAUGUUAUGUUGCUGAAACCGUUUCCUUUAUAUUUAAUGAUAAUUAUGAUAAAGUGUCGAGUAAAGACGCUUGGUAUCUCUUUAGAAGGUUGUACAAAGAGGGGGUGUGGCCUCCUAUCAAGGCAAAGCAUAACCCUUGUAAAUCUUCGUCUUGUGUACGGCACAAUAAAUGCUAGCAUAUAGUCUGGGAACCUUAUACAAGAUAGUCACAACGCUGAUGUAUGACGUCAUGAAUACUAUCUAUUCAACAUUCUGUAUGUAAUUUUAUAGGAAUGCUAAGAUGGUUGGACCUAAGAGAUUUUGUUUUUCACAUUUCUACAUUGUGUAAGCUGUUAUAUAAAUAUCCAAAGAAAAUGGGAAACAUGUUGAAAUUUCAAGGUCAAGGUAAAGCUUUAAUUUGCAUAUAGGUCAAGGUAAAGCUUCAAUUUGCAUAUAGCAUGGCCUGUAGUUAGGGAUAAAUCAACAUAUAAACAGUUCUUACAUAACUUUUAUCUGUAUGAACCAUUCAUGUUUAAUAUAUACCAUCCGCUGGCUUCUCGGUCUUUACUCUCUACAAUAUAAAUGAUGAAAAACACUUACUGAGUUACACAAAUCUAGGAAAUAUUAGGACUUAGGGACAUUGGUCUCCCAAGAAAGCAAUAUGGGGACUAUGUGCAUAAUAUAAGAUCACUUGAGAUUUGUAUUAGUGUAUGAUACCCUUAGCCUAUGUGGUAGCAUCUUUCGCUGCGUCACAAAGCAAGUUUUGUCAAAUUAACCUUUUUAAUAUAGCAAGUGUAUUUAAAUGAGUCUUCUUAUUGUGCUUGAUCAAAUAAGGCAUGAAAAAAAAAUCAAGAAAGAAUGACUUUAUUCUACUGCUUUAUUUCGAUCCCAGGGAAGCAAUUGGCAAGAUUCUCGCGCGAGGCCACAGCCGCGUUCCUGUUUAUUCAGGGAACCCUAAGAACAUCAUUGGACUUUUACUGGUAAGUAUCGAUUUAUUAUAUUUGUUUAUAUUCUGUCAUUCUUCUCAUUUUUCGUUGUUCCUUUUUGCGUCCAGGUGAAGAGUCUUCUGACAGUUCGUGCUGAGACGGAGACGCCAGUCAGUGCUGUUUCUAUAAGAAGAAUUCCGAGGUUUCUACAUAAGAUAAUUUUUAUAUUUACUUACUUUCAUCGAAACAGGAUACUCAUAUCUUGGUUACAUCAGGGUCCCUGCAGAUAUGCCUUUGUAUGAUAUACUGAACGAGUUUCAAAAAGGAAGCAGCCAUAUGGCUGCUGUUGUUAAGUCCAAGGCUAAAGCUAAAGUUGUGUCACCAGCUGCUGACGUAGAACAAGCCGAAGCAAUCAACGGACCUUCCGGAGAGCCGGGAUUGAUGACUCCUUUGCUAUCCAAAGAAGAGGAAAAGUCUGAUAGUGUCGUUGUUGACAUUGAUAAGUGGCAAAACAAACAGGCUAACGGAAACAAACCAGUCCAUGUACAUAAGAAUGAUGCAGUGUCAAAUGUGGUAGCUCGUUUAUCAGAGGAUAUUGAAGAUGGGGAGGUCAUUGGCAUCAUCACCCUUGAGGAUGUUUUUGAAGAACUCUUACAAGUAAGACGUAAAAGCUCCUCUUUCCUGACAUGCUAAAUUGCCAAUUAUGCUUACAUCAUCAGUUUGCAGGAUAUGGUAGAAUUGCUUACGGCAAAGGCCUGUUUGGCUCAUUUGGCACUCCUGCAGUAACUGCUGCUUGAGUUGAGCCAUUCAAAGACACACUAGUAAUUUUUUCACAAAAGAAAAAAAAAAAAAAAAAAAAAAACUCCUUUACAGCUUCUUACUACAGCAAAAGUAGAAACUUCAAAACGGAGUUUUAGCUGUUGGGGCCCAGAAACUUGUCAUGCUUUACAUCACUGCAAAAGCUCUGAAUAAUAUGUUGGCCAAACAUCGUGUAUCUGGAUAUGUCUGCUCACGGGAUUUCAUAAGAUGUUCCAGAACCAAGGGUAAACAUGGCUGAAGAAUGACCUCCAAGCCAUUAAUCGUGCCUCCUAUAGCCUGAAGUUCUCUUUACGGAAUAUCUUUUAGAAGUAAGAAGUUUAAGAUAAUGACAAAAAUCCUUCUUUAUGCAGGAGGAGAUAGUAGACGAAACGGAUGAGUAUGUUGAUGUUCACAAAAGGUAUACAAUCAUGUUUGUUUUCCCACGAGCCAAUAUCCCAGCAGCAAAUAUGACCUCUUAGCGCAUGCACUGUGUUUAAAAUAUUGAGCUCUUCUUGCAGGAUAAGAGUAGCUGCUGCUGCCGCCGCUUCCUCAGUCGCACGGGCUCCAUCAGCUCGGAGGUUAACUGGUCAAAAAGGAACAGUAAGUGAUUUGUUUAGCUUCGUCAGUCCUUUUUUCUUUUUAAUGAUUAAACCAGUAGGUCCAUUGGCCCAUAGGCACAUCCCCCUCGGAAUAUCACCGGACCAUCUGGAUACCCUCCAUAUCUGUAGCCAGUUAGGCUAGAGCCACUAGACCCAUUCAAACUUGUUUAGCUUCAUCGCUCCUUUGUUACAAUCGCCAUUUAAAUAUUUCUCGACAAAUAUCAGAGCAUCGAUUUUGAAUAUUUUGAACUGAUCCUAGAUGUCAUGCAUUCAUAUAACUCUAUUAUUUUAUGGAGUUAUUAUUGUACUUUUUGGAUAUUUGAAUAUGUACUAAAUAGGAUACAAGCAAAGUUAUGUCCAGGAAAGGUCGUCUUAAUAUUUGAAAUCUCAAUUGAAAUCUCAACUAUAGUGCUUUGCAGGUUAUAACUGUCGUAAUUUUAUUCUUUUGCCUUAUUUGCCUACUCAGGGAGCUCAAAAUCGGCAAGGGCAGCAGCCUACAGGAAUCCUAAAGAAACCCACCGAAGGUGAUUCGAACACGCCCAAACACCAAGUAAAUGUUGUGGAACCUGCACAGGGAACCAAGAGAUAGAUAUCAUUUGUUGAAGGGGACUCGAGAAGUAACAAAGUAACAAGCAAGUUGCACAAAUUCGCAUGUUUUUGUGGGUGUUCUUAUAUUAUUUUUGUAACCAUAUGAGGUAGAUUCCGUAAUGCGCCCUUUAAUGUGAAGUGCCGCCAGUAUUUUAUAACUUCAACUGCUAGUAGAAGGCGUGAACUCCCAUUUAUAUGUAGCAUGCCUGGUCUUUUUGUAAUAUUCUGAUUUCGGGGCGCUUUGUUUAGUGGUUGCUUUUAAAUUUUUGUUAUCAUGGUUUGCACAGCAAAUGGUGGUUUUGAAAGAGUUGCGGAACGUGUUUAAAUUGUUGUCAUCAUGGUUUUGCAUAGCAAACGGCGGCUUUGAAAAGAGGAAUUGUCGAAACGGAUCGAAGGGGACAAGCAGAAUCAGUGGCAUGAAAUAGUGCAACCUGCUAAUGAAGAGCUGAAGAUGAAGAAUGAUAGAUAGCUCUAAGAUCUUGAUUCAUACCCUUUUUGGUGAUUUAUGUUUAUGAAAUUUAUUGAGGACCUGUAUGUAAAAGAAUGAAAUUGUCUGAUGUAGGUUUAAUUUUAUCAAAUUUCAAACUGUAUGUGGCCAUCGAGGAUCAAUUGUUUUAUACUUAGCAAUUUUUGUUAACUAUCAAGCUUUUUGGAAUUAUAUACAUAGGUGUAUAAUUCUCGAGGGCACUAUGCAAAAAUGUCAAUUAAACGCUAAAAUGCGCUUUAUAAGAAAAAAUUGCUUCCAAAGACCCCGGAAAUCUGAAAUGCAUUUUUCCGAAGUUCAAAAUAAAGAAAAGUGAAAAAGAGAACUUUAAUUUGCGCUGCUGUAGUUUUAGCACAUCUUCCCACAUUUUACAAAUAAGAAAUGGCAAAAUAUAGAAGCAUUUCCUAACCUAUAAUUUAUCUAGUUAUUGUGUGACUAAUAAAAUGUAUCAUUUUAUCGCCCAAUAUGCUGACAGAUUCUGACAAAUUGAAAAUAUGCAGCUAAUAGAAGUUUACAGUUAAAAAAAAACUGCCAAGAAGCAAAUCACUGCAAAUAAACUAUUGCUACAAAAUAAAUAACCAGAUAAAGGUACAAAAAGAAGUAUCUGAUAUUAAGAUACUUAGUAUAUAUCUAGCAUUAAACAGCCACCUCCUUUUCCAAUAUUUCACAUAAGGCAAGAAAAAAAAGGAAACAAAACCAAAGAAAAAAAAGAAAAAGAGGAAAGGUUUCACCACAAGCUGGAUUCCUUCUAGCAGUUGAUGCUUCAGCUAGUUGGCCGCUGGAUUCUGGGCCUGAGAGACCAACUUCAGCUUCGAAUACAUGUCAGCGCAAGAUCGGGCAAAGUCGGACAGUGCACGAAAGAGUUCCGGCAAGUGCGUCUUGAGUGUCGUCAGUGACUUCUCUCUAACUUGUUUGCACAGCUUAUUAUACGCCUCAACUUCAUCGUCAAGUCGACUCUUCAGAGACUCCACCAAGAAUUUCCUCUCUGAUACAGGGUCUUUUGGAUUCGUUCCCUCAGUUGCGCCGUCUCCCUCGGCUUCUUCACCUGACGCUGCCCUCCUAUGCGAAUACUUAUAAUACCAGUCCUCGAAAGCUCGAGAUUUCUUCUGAAAUUCCUUGCCCAUUUCUUCGCACUUUUCCUUCUGCUUCAUCUCAUCCUGUUGGAGCUUCAGUAUAGUGUCCAUCACCGCUGCAAAGCUGAGAAGAGCGCUUUUCGCAAGCUCUUCUGGAAGCUUCUCGAGGUGGUCGUUCCAUGCAUGCAGGAGGGCUUGAAUAGGGGGGCGUUGCAUUCUCGGAGGUGACGAUACCUUCUCUUUUAAGCUGCUUUCAAUGGGUAUAAGGUUCAGUUUCAGCCAGUUGUUAAGGGCUUGUAUGUACUCCUUUUGGUGAGUGAUGAGCUUAUGGAACUGUGAAUGCCACUCUUUUACGAUGUCGUGUAGUUCGAUCGUACGUUUGUGGUGUUGUUCGCUCAUUUCCAUUGGAGAGUCUGAGAUGUCGAGGGCCUUGAGGUCUAGCACAAUCUUCAGCUGACUUUCAUGAUGCAAGAACAUCAUUUCCCACAUUUUGUCCAUCCUGAAACAAGGAAGAAAAACCAAUUCAUCAAUUUUCUCCUGUAAAAUUUCAUGACACCAGUAUCUUUAUUAAACCGUAUAAACUAGAAACAAGGGAAAGCUGGUGCUUUUCAAGUGUUAAUACUGGUCCGACUGCAUCAAAGACAAAUUUUAGAGCUACCGAAGGUCUAUAUAUGAUACUCAGAGUUAUAAAUUGCAAAAUUAAGGUAAAGAAUAAGAUGUAAAAUACAUUUCAACAUGAUAGAGUGUUGCUGUCAGAAUUUUACUGGCUAGGGUCAUAAAAGCCAGCAAAAAUUAACCAAGCUUGGCGGUUCCUUCAUUUUAGUGCAACAGACAAUUUUUCGUCUGUUCUAGCAUGUCAUCCUGCUGGCCCUGUUCUUAUGCUUGUUUAAAACCCUUCUCAUUUCCCAACAGCAACGCAAUCUCCCAUGGUCGAACCCGACGUCGUUCACGAUUCCCACCCAACACCAUUAGCGAUUCCCCUUAACCGGAACAUGCCAUCAUCUGCCAUCGCGAGAAUGAUUGUGAUGGACACAUGCUCUUCGAUAGUUCACCUAUUAGCAAGUAGUAAGAAGCCAAAGCUUUUAUAGCACAUAUUUACGAAGAUCCAAGACGAUCUUAUCCUUGUCCAGACUUCUUGUGCAAAAAUACAUAGGUCAGAAAAGACAAAAGUAGCAUAUAUGUAUGUGUACGAGGAUUCAAGAGUAAAUCUUAUCCUUGUUGGGCCUUUGUUGCAAAAAAAAAAAAAAAAAAAAAAAAAAAACGUCUUCAACUAAGGACCAACUUGAUUCUUCUAACCUUUCGACAAUAACUCUUUUAAAGGCCUAUGGUGAAGUCAAUUUCCUCAUCAGAUAAUAAUUCACAUAUCUAGAGAUUCUGGUGCGGAUUCUUUGGAGCAGUUUGUGAGUAAGAUAUUGGCCAGAUUACGUUUGUACAUUUUAUUGCAAGUAUGGGAAAGAAGAGAAAGAGCCAAGGAUGGGUGAAUAGACGUACUCAUCAACAAGGUCAACUAGUCUUGGGUAUAGCUGAUUAUCGCGCAGAUGUUGAAUUUCUGACACUGUUGAAUCCAUCGAUUGCAUAUCAACUAUGUAUCUCGUAUGCAAAUGACUGACGGCUGCUUUAGUUCUUUCCAGUGUCUCAGUAGGCGCACCCCGUUUUUUUUGUUUGUUCAAUAAAGCAACCUUCCUUUGAUACUCAAUUUUCAUAAGCUCACCUGUCUGCACUUCAAGGUGAAGAUAAGAUUAGAGUCAGGACACCAAGAACAGCAGUGUGAUACUAAAAUAAGCAAGGAAACGUUUGGCAACGGAUUUUAAAUCCACUAUGACCAUAAGAACAACAGUUUCCAAAUACAUGUUAGUAUGUCUAUAGGCAGCAGCAUGACCGUUCAUGCAAACUGCUCACAAUGCACUAUUUAAUAUAUCAGACUAAUCCAAAGAUCACAAAGAGAACUAAUAAGGAUGGGUCAAUCAUAAAGACAAAAAUUCAUAUUCCAUUGCAAAAGUAGUGGACAAAAUGUUUGAUGCCCAAUAGCCUCACCAGGGAUUAUGAUGGGGAAUAUAAAGACUUUGUAUUCUAGUACUAAUAAUCAGGAUUAAGCAUUUUUGGCUAGUGGUUUGAACCCAACAAGUCAUUAAUGCCUGUAGGCUAGGUGGUUACAUUUGGCACUACCAAAUUGCCAGAUGGAAGUGUGAGGUGGGUCUCAUAUCACCCAGUGAUUCCGAAUAUGCAUGUGGAUUGGGCCUGAUGAGGACAUUAGGGCUUAAAUUGGGGAAGCAUAUGACAACUAAUAGUUCCAUUGAGGGUUAUAAUUGGGUAAAUAAGUACUUAAUACUCAAACACUAAUAAUUAAAACUAAACAUUUUGGGCAGGUGGUUUGGACCCAACAAGUUAUUAGUGUUAGUAGACUGGAUUAUUAUAAAUAGCCCUAAAAGCAGCCAAUCUGGCAUGUGUUAUUGCAUAUGCAGAGUCCGAUGAACUAACACGUGAGCGCCCCCAAGUAUGCUAAAUCAGCAAACUUUUCAUUAUUGCAGUCUGCAAAUUGCUAUCAAAAUUAGAUAUAAGCCGCUUUCCAUCUUCGAACUGACAACCACUGAAAGAAAGACAGCAAAUCACACUGUACUUUACAAAAUCAAAGCAAAAGAUGAAUGAUUUACCUUUACUUCCUCAUAUAACUUUUUCUCCCAAGCUAACAUCUUAUCUAAUACCGUCGCAUGAGUUUCUCCUUCAUCAUUAUCAAAGUCAUCCUUCCCAUCAUCAGCAUUAGACAUGCCUUUAAAUGACCUAUUCCACGUAAUGACUUUCAUUACUCUUGCGGAGUGAUCAAUGUGCCCUACAAGACAGAGCACGUGUAAAGACAGCGUAAAAAAUAUGCCGAGGGCCAAUAAAUAACAAAAAAAAGCAAUGGACCAAAGAAAAUUUAGUACUCAAUAGACUGCAAUACGUCUCAAACCACAACAUGCCAAUCUGCUAAUAGUCAGCUCAAAUGACAAAAAAACAUGGGUUAAUUUCAUACAGGUCCCUGCAAACAUGGUGAAUAGCAAAUAUAUCCCUGCAAAGUUCAACUUUCAUAAGUUAUCCCUGAAAAAGUCCUAAUGUAUUCAGAUAUGUCCCUGCCGUUAAUCUCCGUUAGAGAAUCUAGUUAACCACAGUUAAAAUACUUAACCAUAGUCAGUUAAUAAGGUAAAAUGACAUUUUUACCCUUCUUCCUCUUCCUCUCCCUCUCCUGCUUUUUCUUCUUCUUCCUCUUCCUCUCUUGCUUCUUCUUCUUCCUCUUCUUCUUCGUAUCCUCAUUUUCCUCUUUUUUCCCUCCUUCAUCUUCUUCUUUGUCGUCGUCGUCGAUGAUCCGAUCGUCGUCGAUGAUCCGAUCGUCGUCGCCGUCGUGGUGCCCGUGUGGGCCGUCGUCACAGGCGCCUCCGACGGCAUCGACUGUGCUGUGACCCCGACAAGCUCCGCAACCCCGUUGGCUGCAACCCCAACAAGCUCUGUAAGGUCGCCGUCGCCGCCGUCGCCGCCGUCCGCUCCCACAGCCAGAAGUGGAAGAGGAAGAGAAAGAGGGCAAAAUUGUCAUUUCACAUUUCUGAUGUUAAAAAAUUAACAGUUUUCUAACUGAUCCUGACCAGAGGGACAUAUCUAAAUACAUUAAGACUUUUGUAGGAAUAACUUAUGAAAGUUGAACUUUGUAGGGAUAUAUCUACUAUUCACUAUGUUUGCAAGGAUCUGUAUGAAAUUAACCCAAAAAAGAGGAUACAUAAAUGUAAUAUCUGGAUAUCUGGAUAAACAGAGGUGAAGGUAAGAAGGGGUAGGGGGUUUGGGGUGGGAAGAAAUCAAAGUGGCUUUAAGGAAGAAUAUGCUAUUGAGCUAUCAAAACAACUCAUCCCUAAAUCAAAGGUGAUACAAUGAACGUGCUAGACUCAAACAAAAGAAAAGAGCUCAGGCAGAGGCAUCAAAGCAUCUGGUUUUUGAGAGAUUGUGAGUAGCAGAAUAUAUACCUUUGUGCCUCUAAAAAGGUAAUGGAAACACUUGUCCAAGAUGAAUAUAGGAGGACUCAAAAAACAUAUAUGAAAUGUCACAACAUGAAUCUAAUACAACUAUGAAAGAAUAAAAUAAAUGUAUAGCAAUCACAUGAUAAACAAUAAUUCAGCACUCCAGAUCAAACUACCCACGUAAUAGCCCAUAAAUCAAUACAAGGGAUAUCGACACCUCGUGAAAAGGUUUCAGAAUUUAAGAACAACCACGACAUUACAUUUGUCGCAAAUGGCACGGUGAAAUGAAGAAAACGUUAAAAUUUGCGGUGGUCGAUUCUUAGCAUUCAACAAAGUUAACAUUCUAGAGAAAAAGUAAGUAUGAGCUAAUGAAGGAGCAGGAAAAGUUGCAUCUUAUACCUCUACCGUCGACAAAAUUAGAGUGAUAGUGCAUCCGAGUCGCCUCCAACUUUUUUGAAACCUCGUGAGUGCUCUCGGACGCCUUGAGGAAGUGCUCGUCGAGAUCCGUGAAGACCUGCAAGAGAUUCACACUCCGCUCCGCCUCCGCUGCAGAGGCCGUUUUCCCCCUCGUGGCACCGUCGAACGGCGGCGCCGAGGCCGUGUGCUGGUGGUGGCGGCGGUGGAGUUGCACGGCACCUCCCGGCUUCGGCUUCUGCUUCUGCUGCUGAUUCCUCCCGGCCGGAUUCGGCGGCAGCGGCGGGAGCGGAUCGAGCGGCGCCGCGGCCGACGGCUUCUCCGGCGUCCUCGGCUCGCUCGAAUCGUCCGUCCGCAUUGGGCGGGGGGCGGGGCGGGCGGGGGGGAGGGGGAGGGGGGUGGCGAAUUUCUCGUCCUGGUGCUCCGCGUCCCGCUCGGGGCGGAUCUCGUCGUCCGCCGCGGCCGCGCAUGGACUCGUCAUGGCGAAGAAGUGUCCCACGUGUCCAUCCCCCGGGACUCCGGCAUCGGCGGCGGCGGGCGCGGCGUGGCCGUCUUCUCCGGCGCCGGCGCCGGAUCCGGCCGGCGGCCGCGGAGGCGGCCCGCUCCUUAGGGCGUAUCUGGGGCGCUUCGUCCCGCUCCUCCUCCUCCUCCUCCUCCUCGUCCUCGUCCGUUCUAGGAUGGGGCGGGGGAAGGCGGGAGGGGGCAUGCUGAUGGAGCGGUGGAUCUUGGGAGGGGAGGGGAGAAGUCGGGGAGGGGUGGGGGAGGGGAGGAGCGAUUCCAUGGCGGCGGAGGAGGAAGGGUUAGGGUUCGGCGGCGCUGCGGCGUCGGCGGGGUUUUGUGGGGUUGCGUCGGAGGGUGAGGAGGGGAAUGGGAAUGGUCCUGGUGGUGGUGGUGGGCGAACUCGGAGAGGGAGGCGCCGGUGUUCUUGACGCGACGGCGUAGGCGGAGUGGCCGGCGGCGAAGGCGCUGCGGGCGGAGACCGCCGACCGCAUCCACUGCCGCCGCUCCUUGCACCUCGCCACCGCCUCCUCGUUCUCUAUCCUCGACUGCGCACACCCCAUCCUCUCCCCUCUCUCUCUCUCUCUCUCUCUCUCUCUCUCUUGAUUUUAAGAGCUUUUGCUUUUUUUUUUAUUAUCAGGGAUGGCGAAGACGAAGAAGAAGAAGAGGAUGGAGCAUUCUUUUUUUUUUUCUGUUUUUUCAGAUCGGGCUGCCGGGCGACGGAAGAAGGAAGGAUGGGCGCGCACGCACGGGACCCGAGGAGGAAAUGCAGGCGGCACAGGACGGAUCUGUGUUUGUGGGGUGUGGGGUGUUGGGGUAGCGGGCAGCCUGCGUGCACUCUGAACUCUGAAACGCGGCUGACAGACCAGCAGCAGCAGCAGCGUGCUCGCUAGCAGUGCUUUCGUUUGGACGCUUGCCGCCUCGGAAGGCGGAAGCACGGCUUUAAAAAAGUUUUAAAAAGAAAUUUUAUGAUAAUAUAAUUUGAUAAAAAUAAAAUUAUAAUUAAUUAUAAAUAAAAUUGUAAUAAAAAAUUCGAAAAGAGAGCGGUAAGGUGGACGCGCGGAACGGCGGGCACAGUUCUCAACGACACUGCUUGAUUCGACACGUCCUCCAUCCAUCCAUCCAUCCACACCGCACGGCGCGAAUCAUAAAACAGCAUCGAACAAAAUUUAUUGAUUCUUAUAUAGGAAUCUCAUCUUUAUUAUUAAUUUAUGUAAUCACGGUUUAAAAUUUUCUCUUACAAAUUUCUUUCUCUCCUAUUCUUUCAUCAUUCUUUUUUUUUUUAACAAUUUUUUUUUUCAUUCCGAUUUUUAUUUUAAUAAUAAACUUUUUUUUUUUUAGAUAAUUUAUUAUUUUAUUAUUCAUUAUAAUGUAAUUUAAUUCUAUUUCGUAUUUUGAUACCAAUCAUUAACUAAAUAUUCUUAGAUUAAGUGAUUUAAUUAUAGAUGUCAUAUUUCUGUACUUGCAUGCGUCCUGACCUGGAUCAAAAAUUUCUGCCAAUUUAUGUCAUAAUAACUGAUCGUUUGGUGACCUUAUUUUAUAGUGCAACCGAAUAAUCAGUUGCUUUUGUGAAUAUAAAAUGGUAACAAUUUGUCUCAUCUGGACAAGCUUUGCGAGAGGUCUAGGGAAGCAGAUGUUGGCUCACCAAACUCCAACCAUGCAUCACAGAUUCACAGUUAAAGCCUUAUUCACAGGGGCUUUGCUGUAGAGAAAGAAAGAUAUAUUAUUGUUGAUUGGUUUAAGUCCCCUUUUUUUUAGUAUUUUUUGCGUACAGAUCUUUUCCUACAAAAUUUAACUUUUAUAAAUUAUCUCUAUAAAAAUCCUAAUGUAUUCAGAUAUGUUAAUAUUCUUUAGAGAAAUCUAGUUAACCACGAUUAAAAUACUUAACCAUAAUCAGUUAAUAAGAUAAAAUAAUAUUUUUACCCUUCUUCCUCUUCCUCAUCCCCUUCCUCUUCUUCCUCCUCUUCCUCUUUCUCUCCUGCUUCUUCUUCUUCCUCUUCUUCUCCGUAUCCUUAUUUUCCUCCUUUUCUCCUUCUUUUUCUUCUUUGUCGUCGUCGUCGUCGUCAUCGAUGAUCCAAUCGCCGUCCCCGUCGUGUGCCCGCGUGGGCCGUCGUCACAGGCGCCUCCAACGGCAUCGGCCGCGCCUUUGCCUUCCGCCUCUUCCUAGUCUUCGUUGGCCACAACCUCGACAAGUUCCGCAAGGUCGCCGUCGCCGCCGCCGUGUGCUCCCACGGCUUGAAGAGGAAAAGGAAGAGAAAGAAGGCAAGGACAAAAUUGUUAUUUUACAAUUCUACUGUUAAAAAAUUAAUAGUUCUCGAACGAAUCCUAAACAGAGGGACAUAUCUGUAUAUAUUAGGAUUUUUGCAGAAAUAACUUAUGAAAGUUGAAUUUUGAAAGAAUAUGUCUAUUAUUCACCAUAUUUGCGGAAACUUAUAAAAAAUUAACCCUUUGUUUGAUAAAAAAGAGUUAUAAAGAUUGGAUUACUUCUUGUCUAAAAGUCUUCUCAAAAACCAUACCGCUAAUAUGUUUAAAAUUUUAAAUUUAGAAUUUCGAAUAUCAACUAUCAAAUUCUUAGCCACUCAGGAACUCACCACUAGCCCUUAAUCAACAGUGUUAGGUAUAGUAGAUUGGCUACAGUUGUAUGGGCCUUGCAAAAUUAGUGAUUUAGUUGGGGAGCAUGUUGUAUAUGCUACUUAGAGAAUGUGUGGUUGCUUAAAAAUCAUUAAAACAAAUAAUAGUAAUAAUAAUUUCAUGGAAAAUAUAUUUUUUCAUACUUUUUUAGAUAAAAAAAUCAGUCUAAAAAUUUCAGAAAAUUUUUUUUCUGAAAAUCAAACAGAUAAAAAAGUUUUUUAUCUAAAAAAUUAUUUAAAAAAAAGAAAUUGUAUAGCGAACCAACACCCCCAUUAGCAAAAAUUUCUUACAAUAUAUGGUUUGUAGAAAAAGAAAGCAUCUUUUCAGUUUAGGUCUCUUCACUAGGGUGUGUUUGGAUCCCUGUAAAAUUCCUCCGAAAAAAAUUUUCGGUUGAAAUUUUUUUUUUCAUGUUUAGUUGUCCGUAAAAUUUUGUUUGGAAAAGUUAUUUUACAGAUUUUGAAAAAAAAUUGAGUUUUCAUUUUCCGCAUGCCGUCCACAGAAAACAAAAACAAAGAUGGAAAAGUGCGGCAUUGAGCACGGAGGGUAGCAGCGUACAUGCACGGUCCACGAGGCAGCUUCGGUCUCGUGGACCGCAUGAGAGGGAGGUCCACGGUAGACCUCCCUCUCAUUAUAUAUAUAUAUAUAUAUAAAAUAUUUUAUUUAUAAAUUUAUAANUAUAUAUAUAUAAUAUUUUAUUUAUAAAUUUAUAAUUAUUUAUUAAUAUUUUUAAAUAUAUAACUCUUAUAUAUUAUGUAAUAUAUUUAUUAUAAUUUUAAAUAUAUUUAAUCUAUAUAUAAAAAUUAUAAUAAUAAUAUAUAUAGUAUAUUAAUUAUUAUAUAAUAAUAAUAUAUAUAAUAAAAAAAUAUUAAAUAGUUUUUUUUUUUCUUUCAAUCAAACAACCACCAUGGAAAACUAUUUUCUUUUUCUACAAACCAAAUACUAAACUACGUAAAACUUUUUUUCCACUAAAUUUUUUUUUUUGCAGUUUUACGUCAAACCAAAUAGUCCCUAAGGUACCGUUUGGUUCGGGUAUAAGCAAAAACUAGCUAUUACAGGGAUAGGUACAAGUAUGGAGAUAAAGAACAACUUUAGAUAGUUUUAUAUAGAAAAUUGAGGUAUUGGUGGGGAUAACCGAGAACUACUAUUUUUAAGUAAAAAAUUAGCGUUAGGGUAUAAAAGGGGGAUAAGGUCUAUUUCUAUCCCUAUCUCCUAACUAAACGCUGCCUAAAGGAGUAAGGGUGUGUUUGAUUACCCUAAAAAAAAUAUUUCGAGCUUGUCUAGCGUUGAUUUGACGUAAAAAAAAAAUUUGAAAAAAUUAUUUUACGGAUUCUAAGGAAAAUCGCGUCUCAGGCUCUUUCUUGCAUCGGGUCCACGAGCUCAUGUAAGAGCUCGUGGACCGCGUGAGUGGUCCACACUGUUAUAUAUAUAUAAGAGAGAGGGAUAAUUAUUAUAUAUAUUUUAUAAUUUUUAUAAAUAUAUAUUUUUUUAUUAUAUAAUAUUGUAUACAUACUAUAACAUAAUUUAUCAAUUUAUCAUAUAAUAAAAUAUUUUAAUAUAUUUAAUUUAUAAAUAUAAAUUCUAAUAAUAAAUAUAUUAUUAUAUAUAAAUAAUAUAUAAUAUAUAAUAAAAAAUGUUAAAAAAAAAUUUCUUUCGACCAAACAAAAAAAUUAUUUUUUUUCUCUACAAGUCAAACACUAAACGACGUAAAAAAAAUUUUCUACUAAAAAUUUUUUUUCAUCAAAAUUUUUUUUUCAAUAAUUUUACGUGAAAUCAAACACACCAUACAAAGUAUUCAAUUUUCAUUUUCCUGAAAAAAAAAUUAAAACAGUAAGAAUUAUUGGCCCCUGUAUGGGUGUUUUUGGGUAAGAGUAAUAGUACAGGUACUCCACUGACUAGACCACUACUUUUAUAUUGUACCUCUUAUGGGUAAAACAAUUUGAAAUUGAGACCCAAUCCUUAUUAUAGAGAGAAUAAGGAAAUGAGAAUGCCCUACCACUUUCCAUUUGUUUUUGUUGGCUUUAAGGCCAACAUCCUAUUCUAUUAUGUGACGAUCAGAUUGAUUUGAGUCACGUUCGAAAUAAUAAAAGAUCAAAUUGUACUAAGUUAUAUUCAAAAUAGUAUGAGGUCAGCUGAUUGAGUCACAAUCGAAACUUAUAAAAGUACUAUGUCUGUAAGCUUUAAGUGGAAUUGUUGGGUUGUAUGCAGGUAUAACAAUAUUAUAGUUAUAGUAUAUGAAAAUUUAAAUCUGUUUAGUUCAAUGCGUUUAAAUUCAAUUACAAUAGUUGUAACUGCAUGAGGCCUAAUUGCAGUGGUUGGAACAACGUCUAAUUUUACUGCAGUUCCAACUAUAGUAGUUAGAUAGGAAACUUUUAAACAAAAAAAAGCAUACCUCACUAAUUAUUUUUUAAAUAAAAAAUAUCUCCACAUUGGAGGUAAUCAUUAGUACAUAUAUAAAAUGAUAAAAUUUUACAAAUACAUUUCAGUUUAAAAUUUUAGUUUAAUGUGUUUAAAUUCAAUAACUACGUCUAAUUUUAGCUUGUUAUGUUUAAUUUCAUUGGCUACGGUUGGAAUUCCACGAAGCCCAACUGCAGUAAUUAGGGCUAUAUCCAAUUUUGCCGAAGUUCCAACUAUCGUAGUUGGAAAGAAUAAGUUUAAAUAAAAGAUAAACCUACAUAUAUAUAAAGUAAAAAAUUUUUACAAAUACACUUCUUAACUAUAUGUAUCUAAUAAUUACAAAAAAUCUCUACUGCAUCCAACCAAACAAGAUAUAUAUAAUUAUAAUUGUUAUCACUAACUGUAUGCAUUUUCAUCUACAUUAUAUAUUUAAUUACAUCCAAACAAACAGCCUCUUAAUGAAUUCACUCUUUACUCUUUUUCAUAAAAUAGCAAUACAUGGAUGCGAAAUUAGAAAAUGUUUCAUUCAACAACCACUAUACUUUCGAGUGUUAUUCAAAAGAUCGUGAUUUAAAAUCCCACUUUUUAAAAAAAAUUAAAAAAAAACUCAUAUUGUUACACCAUAAUGUUUAAAAAAAUUAAACCAUAAUGUUAAAAGAAAAAAGAAAAAAAUAUUAUUGGUGAGCAAAAAUCAAAACUAUUAGGUGUUCUCAUAUACUUUAGACUUUAACCAUAAUAAUGCUGGGGAAGUGAUGUAGUCAAAGCAAUUUCUUUCACUAUUUUAAGAAUACAAAAAAUUCUAAAUUUUUUAGUAGAUACAUGUAACUAUUCUGAAAAUUUAAAAGUAACUCUAUCAAUAUCAAUGAUUCAAAUUUCUCUUUUUCUUUUUUUUUGGGGGGCAUCAAAAUUCUAAUUUCCUUCUCAUUUCUUUUUCCAACUUGGGAUAAUCUCAAAGUAUGAUUGCACAUGACAAUUUAGUACUCAAAUUUUAUUUGUUGCAAUUUUUGGCUCGAACUUUCAGAAUUAUUGUAAUUAAGUUUCACAAUCUAGUUUAGUUGGCUAAAUUUUAAAAUAUCGUUGAUGUAAAAGUGAUGUGGCAUUUUAAUUAUUGACGCAUCAUCAAUUAUAAUAUUACUAAAACCAAAAAUUACCAUAAUUCUAAAAGUUAAAACCAAAAAUUAUAAUAAAUUACAGUUUGAGAACUAAAGUAUUACCGGCCUCAACGUUCGAGGACCAAAUGUGUAAUUUACCCUUCCAACUUCGAUGCAUAAAGACUGACCGUCCCCAGAGCAAGUGACAUUUCCAGCUAAGUUUAUUUCUAAAUAAAAUAAACAAAGCAGAUAGCGUGCUAUCCUAUAUCUCUCUCUCUCUCUCAAAAAAAAAAAAAAAAAAAAAA